AAAAAAAAAAAAAACUUUUAAACUUGCAUAUACUAAACUCUAACUAAAUUUUGUUUUUAUUUGUUGGUUUUAAAAUAUAAGAUUAAAGGGUGUUGUAGUACAAACAUUUUGACAAAGUGGUUUUGUAAUUAGAAUUAGAGAUAAUGAUUUCUUUGUGAUGGAAACAAUUUUGUUUCUAGUAAAUUAUCUUUAUAGAAUCUUGGCUUCUGUUUUAAGUUUGGAGUUUUAUGUUUUGUAGAUUUGUUGUUUUCUUUUUAACUUUUUUUUUAUUUCUUUUUCACCUUUCUCUAUGUUAGUAGUGAAAAGUUUCCCACUCAUUAAACUCAAACAUUGCCUUUUAUUUUGGAUAAGGUGAGAAGGAUUCGAUUCAUAUAUAUAUAAGUUAUUAAAAAUGAGGAGGGUGGCAUCCGUUUUAGGGUAUUAUUAGUUGGUUUGAGCCUAUAUGUUCUUAGGAUGGAAUGAGUAUUUUCCAGUGGGAGUUAGGGAUGGGAAAAUUAGAACAAUAAUGUUGGGUUUUUAAUAAUUUAAUUAAGUCGGAGUGUGAAAGUAAAUGGAAAGAUGGGUAAUUGGGUAAUUGGGAAUAUGGAGUGAAAAAGAUUGUAAGGGUGAAAUGUAGAAUUUAAAAUAGAAAAAGUGAAACAAUGCCACGUGUAGAAGAGGUCCCUCAGAAUUUGGAGGAUUGCUCCAAUAAUGUUGGUGGUGGGAGUCAGCGUACGGUGAUGAUUAAAUUAAAAUAUAGGGACCACUAAAAGACAAACACACCCCUUCCAAAACACACACGGACCACAUGCAUUCAUCUAACUAAACACUCCAUAUUCAUUUUCUUUAUGUUCUAUAUACAUAUGUAUAUCCUAUUCUUUUUCCAAACAUUAUUACCAAUUCAAACUCAUCUAUCGUAAAAAUAUAUAUAUAUAUAUAUAUAUAUAUCCUAUUCCUUUUGUAUGAGAAGAUCUUUUUGUGAUUCUUCAACCUUAUCCCAUAUAUAUAUAUGUAAAUAUAUGUAGCAAUAAUCUGCUAACUCUGUUACUCUGUGUGUUUCAGAACUCCUGUCCCUGCACUGUGUACACUUUAUGGCCACAUUCAUUUUAGCUUCUCUACAAUAUUAUAUAAUUCUACAACAAAACAAUGCUCUAAAAUUUCAUCAUUAUUUUUUGUGUUUUGUGUUCCUCAAUCUGUCCUUUCCGGUCACAAUCUUGUUUGGUUCUGUAUGUAAUAUGAGGGACACCUCACAAUUCCAAACUGUGCUAAUCAACCCUCAAUUACUCGUUUCAAGUCCGAGAUCACAUUGUCAUAUUGCUUCAUGCAUGACAGAGGUAUCUUAAUUAGACUUGAUGGAUCAAUAUAUAUAUAUGUACUCAUGCUAGUUCUUCAACCAUAUGUCUUUUAUCAUGGGAUUAAAUGGUUUAGUUAUAAUAGAUAAUUUAACAUUAGGGUAUAUAAUUUUGAGUUAAAAAGAAACCAUUCGACUUAAUGAAUGAGAGAAUAGCAUAAGAUAAGUGAACAGAGAGUACGUUUCCCUUUCAAAUUUUCUUAUCAGUAUAAGACUCUUCUUUUCUUACAAUUAUGAGAAGGCUAUGAAUCAUCCUUUUAUGUACUACAUAUAUGUGGACAUAAACCAUCGGAAUGUCCACAACUGAAAUCCCAAGCCCUUCUACAACUCUUCUAGAAAGUUCUACCACCUUGGUAACAAUUGUUGCACUUCAAUGGAGCUAAUUAAAUAGUAGAAAAACCUGCAAAACAAAAUUAUGUUGACAAAAUGGCUGACUCGCGAAUCUCCACUAUUACAAAACUUAAUUUACUUGACGUUUAAGAAUUGUCAAGUAUCUAUUUACUUGACACUUUUCAAUGCGUCAAGUAAUCUAAUGUCAAGAAUAAGGGAGCUUUAUUUGAUAGUUUUUAAGCGUAAAGUACAAUUUUGGCUUGGUUUUAUUAAACUUGAUUUUAUUUUUAGGUUAGUGUUAAUUGUGCACCACACAAACCAGCAUACCCAUAAUUUAAAAUUUUAGAUCCAUAAUCUUUUCAAAUGGUGUGAGACAAUAUAUGGUUGAAAAAUAGUGCAACUGAUCACUCAAAAUUUUGAUGCAUGUAAAUAUGUGAUGCAAAUUUGGCUUACACUUUUAAUAACAUUAAAUUUAGAUAUGAAGUUGAACUUGUACCCAAUAUAUAUGUCUUUUGAUGGUAAUAGAAUUACAUCUAUCUAACUUUAAACGAGAUAAAUGUUUGCUGAUUAUUAAUUGACUACGCUAAUUAUGUAUUUUCAUUUGUCUUUGCAUCUUAUAACCUUUAACUUUACAUAAAAGAAUUAUACUUCUUAUUAAUUGAAUUUACUAUCUAUGGUUAACACUAGUCGAUAAAAUACAAAAAAAAAAGUAGUCAAAUCUAAAGGAUUUUUGUUCAACAUUUUUGGUAUACGAUCAUUUAAAAUUUGGUAGUCAAAUCUGAACAAUUUUUUUCAUGAUUUUUUGGUAUGAUAGUUUAUAUUUGGCUACUUUUUGUACACAAUAAUGGUUUAGAUUUGCUCGUUUAAAUUUGCUAAAUCUGAACAAUUUUUUUAAGAUUAUUUGUAUAUGAUCAUUUAGAUUUAGCUAUCCAAUAUUCCAACAUUUUUUUUUCGAACAACCAAACAACAUUUUGUUUGAAAAAAAAUAGAUCUUUUAUAUUUGAUACACGAUCUUGAACCAAAUAACAAUUUUAAAAAAUAAAAGAAAAGAAAAAUUAAGAAGAAGAAGAGAAAAAGAAAAUUCCAUAAAAGAAAGAAGAUGAAAAUGAAUGACAAAUUUAUAAUAUUUAGAAAAAAAAUAACCGAUUUCAUGGCUUUUUUAUUUUAUUGCACGAGCCAUAGAUAUUUUGGUAUUUUGUUAUAUUUAUGAAAAUUAACCAAAAAAACUUCAUUUAUCUAAAUUUAGAUUAAAAAUAAUGUAUUUGAUAGUGGCCUAUAUAGAUUAAACAUAAUUGUAUAUAUAAAAAUAAAAUACAAAGGCAACCCAAUUGAUAGAUUGACAAAUUUUAAGGCAUAAAAUUAACAUGGAGCAAAAUUUAGACCAUCAAAACAUUUUACUAUUCACAUGUAACACUUUAGAAAUAAUAAUUAAGUAUAUAAUAAUAUUUUUAAAAAAGUUUAUAAAUUUAGCAAAGUUGAUUAAUAAAGACUUUUAUCAUUAAUAGAUAAUGAUCACCAAACCUACAUCAUUGCAGUAGGAGAAGAAGGAGGUUAAAUGGGAGAUCACUAGUGAAGAAAACACGAGAAUAGUCACACAAGUAGUUAAGUAAUUGUUAUUGUGUUAUGGGUUGUUAUUUUGUUACUAGUUGUUAUGCUGUUAUUCUGUUAGGAUCUGCUACUAGUUGUUAUGUUGUUAGGAUCUGUUACUAGUUAAUGGGUAAUUAGUUGGUAAAUAUAUUAGUAUAAAUAAGAAAAGACUAGAAGAUAAGAGGGCAGAAAGUGAAUUAGAGAUAUUUUUGCAAUUCCUUGAGAGGUAGGAAGGUAGAUUAGAGAGAUUUUCAAAUUGAGAUCUCCUCAAUUUCUCUGUAUUAAUUCCUGAAUCUGAAGCAAUAAAAGAGAUUCGUUACAUGAAUCAACUUGGUGUUCUAUAAUAAAUUUUAUCAUAUUUACUAUUUUUUAAAAAAUGUUAUUAUUUGAUAAUAUUUUCAAUCAAAUUAUUAUAUUUCUAUUUUUCACUAACAAAAUGUGAGUAAAGUGAACCUAAGGCCAAAUUGGAUAGACUUAGCCCAAGUCGUAUGGGCCUCUAGUAUUUAAUUGGGUCAAACUUAGGUCAGCCCAACCUUUUUAAACAUAAACUCAUAGCUGAAUAUUUAUCAACUAGAUAAAUAACUAAAUAAAUACUUGAAAAAUUGUAAUAGAUGACUAUUUUAGCAAUAAUAAUUAAGGAUAUAUCAACAUUUUAUAAAAACUACAAAUAUAACAAAACUAUCACUGAUGGACUUGUAUCAUUGAUAUACUUCAUAUGAUAUAUCAGUGAUAGACCAAUAUUUGUAACAUGGUCUAUCAGUGAUAGAUUUAUAUCAUUGAUAGAUUUUGACAAAUUUUGCUAUAUUUGCAAUUUUUUUAAAAUUGUGUUAUAUACUUAAUUAAUUUGAAUUUAAUUGUCAAAUUUGCAACUAUCCCUAAAUACUUUAGGUUGGAUAAAUAGCAAAAUAAAUAGAUAGUUAUAUAAAAAAAAUUAAAUUAAUUAAAUAUGAAUAGACAAAAAUAAUCCACUUAAAAUAAAAACCCAAUAUUCAAAUAAAGUUCCACGAAAAUUUAAAACCCACUCAAAUACAUUAUAAUAAAGUGAUUAUUGUAUCCAUCAAACCUCAAAUCAACCAUAAUUGAUAGAUUAGAAACUUAAUACACAACUCGAGAUUCUCUCUCUUCGUGCGUGAACUGAGAACCACCGAGAAGAAACCAUCACUCUUCUUUUUUCUCUUUAAACUACGAUAGAAAGUAUUUAUUACGACCGUUAUAUAUAUACAUUCCAAAUUUGAAGGGAGGAAAAAAAAUGUCACAAAAGGUAAAAAUCUGUGUUUUUGGCCGAAAAAGAUGGAAUUUUUUAAUUUUCACUUUUCGCGACAAUUAUUUGUUGUCAUUAAAAAUACAAAAAAUAAUUUAUUUAAUUUAUUAAAAUAAAAUUCAUUUUUAAAUGAGAAUUUAUUAAAAUCAUAUUUUUCUCCAAUUUUAAAACCCUCACGGCUCACGCAAAUGAAUUUACCAAACCCUUACGUGAUUCUGACCAUCUUCGACCAUCAAUUUAUGUUUGUCACUGCCACUGCCCCCUCGUGCCCGUCUCUUCACUCCAAAGCCGCCUCAACCUCUUCACGAGCCAUCUUUUCUCAUAUAUUUUUUUACUAAUGUCUACGAGCUCGUUCAAGCAAGCUAAGAGCAUGAGUUUGGUAUAUUCUUGAGCUUUCUAUGGAAUUUUGUAUUUUUAUCAUCUCUUUUUAAAAUCAAAAUCAUAUUUGUUUUGUUCUUUUUUUUUAAAAAAAAAAAAGACAUGUUGAGAUAUCCCGAUUAGAGAAAAAUACCCAAACAUAAUUUCAGUAAGAUUUAUGACUUUUCUUGUUUGUUCUUCUAUAUUCAAUUUUGAUUUUCUUCAUUUUUGUUUACUGUAUUUAGGAUUGAUUGACCUUAACUGCAUAAUCUUUUAGUAUGCAUGAUUGUAUUCUUGAGCGAUUAUGUGUCAUGUUGUUGAUGACUUCAUAAACGAUGAUGACAAACAAUUAUAUGUUCAAAGCGGAUAAAGCAAUGGCGAAUAAUAAUAAUGCUGAAUCACUUAUUAAUAUAUAUUUUGUUUUUAUAUAUUCAUAUCAAGUACUGUCAUAUGUUUAAUUAAUUUUAGUUUAUAUGUCCUCAGGUACUACCAUGUCUAAUUCCCAUGUCGGUUUCGAUGAGAGUGAUUGUUUUUUUUUUUUAUUUUAACGUUGAAUAGUUUAAUAAUGUAGGAGGCAUGUCUUAGUGGGUGACACAUUAGGUUAGUCAAAGUUACAUAAACAAUUAACUGCAUAAGCCUAAAGUUUUGUUUAGGAAAUUAUUUUGUUUUCAUAUAUAGCUCUCAACUUACUGCUCGCACUCCUAGAAGACAGGAGCACUAGAGGAACCUGGAGUUGGAACAAUAUGUUGCACAACAUGUAGAGAUCCUCAUAUUGACCGUUCUAGGAUAGGAUAAGUCGAUCUCAACAUACGCUAUUCGCUUCAGCUGUGCCAUCGAUGUGGUAAAGCAGUACACUUUUUCAAGUCGCUUUCUUAAGUGGACUGACGUUACACCUGAAUACAUUGACCUCAUGAAGGGCGCUUUACGGGUAAGCUACCUACCUAUAUAUUUAGAAUCCUAACCUGUACAUAUAUGUUACCUAUGUAUAUAUAUAUAUAAUUCAAAUUUGUGUGUAAUUUUCUUUUGUAGCAAUGGUUCAUGUUGGAUUUCACAGAUCCAAAACUUACUCGGUUCGUUGAGCAUCAAAUACUUACCAUCUGGAAGGAGUUUAGGGGACAAAACCACCACCAUUUAAAGAAGUUUAGUGAUUCUGAACAGGCACGUGCUAACCCACCCCCAGAUUGAAGAAUAGUGUGGAAGAUUUGCACUUUUUAUGUGACCACUACCUUACUUGACAAUUUAAGGUGAUUUAGAACUUUUUUUAAUAUUCUCAAACGAUAGUUCUUUUUUUUUUUUUUAUGUAAUAUUUUGAUUAUUUACAUGUAGGAGCUAUCAAUGAUGAACAUGGUUGCUAAAGCGAAGUAGUCCUACAACCACAGUAGUAGUGCUAAGUCAUUUCUACAACAAGCAUGACCUCAUUGAACAACGGGUCAUCUAGUCUACCAUGUGGAGUAGCUCAAGGAAACACACGCUCGAGGUGGCCAGUUCAUUUCAUCAGCGGUUACCGAUGCUCAUGUAAGUUUUUGUAAUGCUUUUGUCUUAUUUUGUACAUACAUUUAAUUUACACGUUUUACUUCAUUAAUGAAAAUUUUAUUCUAGGGUCAGAUGUUGGAACUCCAGUCUUAUUCCACCCUAGAGGUUUCUCAACCACUUGUUGGGAAUGAGAUAUCUGUGAUAGUCUUAGGUAGACGAUCGGACUACUCAAAAGGUUUUAGUUGGGGUCCCAGGCCAAAGUCCCAACACGCUGCUAGUAGUUCUUCGUCUACAUUCCACGAGCGAGAGAUGCACGUUAGGGAGGUUAUCAAGCUAAAAGCUCAUCUUCAGGAAGUAGAAGAAGAAAGUAACCAGAGGCAUGAAGAAAGUGCUCGACAGAUCGAAGAAAUGAAGAAGAUGAUUGAAGAACUCACUCGGGCUACAAGAUCAGGACCUUGAUUUCUUCAUUGAUGUACGUAAUUUUCAACUUUUACAUUCUUUAAUUUCUAAUUUGGGUGAUAUAUAUUAAUUAAACUUAAUUUUGUGUCAUUGUAGGUUCAAAGGCAUGGGAGGACUGCAUCUGCACUACUUAGAUUAUGUUUUUAGUUAUUUUGUUUUAAGUUUAGGUUAUUCAUGUACUUUUUCGAACUACAAGCAUGUACUUUUUUGUAUAUUUGAAUUAAUUUUAAUAUAAAUUAGAUUUGAUAUUUUAUUAAUUUUGUGUUACAUGUUUUCCUCUUUUAGAAUUUGAAACAAUUUAAAUCGAAUUUGAUCCCAAUAGCAACAAAAACAAUUAAAUAAUAAAAAAAUAAUCACGACGCACUAGAUGCAUCGAGAAUAGACGCAACGACGCGGUAUCGUUCCACGCUAUGUCGACGUUGCGUCGAUCGUCCAUUUAAGUCGACGUACACGACGACGUCGUCAAUACCAUAUUGUUGACAUGUUGACCAAACGUCGACAAAACACUAUUGUCGUCUUCCUAACCUGAUGUCGGCAUUAGCUUAUUGUCAACGUGUUGAUCUAGUCGGUGAAUUAUGCGUUGGUCAAAACCAUAUGUCAACACUGUCUCAUUUGAGUGUCGACAUUUGCUCUUACGACACGACACUCACAACACGUGCACCGACAUGCAUUUCUGCAUCAACGUAGACACUGUGAACAUAUCUUUUAUUUUUAACAGCGCCUACUGAGCCAACAAACUUGGGCUACUCUCACUUAUGCAAAUCUAAAGCUAAUCUCGAAUAACUAGGAGUUCAUAGUUAGCUUCAGAUUUAGCUUCAGAUUAAGAUCGAGUUACCUAGGUCAUCAAACUUGAAAUAGUCAAUAAACAAUAAAUAUGGCAUUAUAAAGUAAAAGUCAUUAUGUCGUGGUCUGGUCUUAUACAAACUCAUUGUAGGAUGCUUCCGCUCCCUCUCUACAUAAACGAUUUAAGAUCACAUCGUUUUGUAUCAAAUACAUAGUAGGUUGCAUCCAAGUUGUCUGCAAAAUAAGAUGACCAACAUUAUUUCUAUACUAUGGAUCAUUUAGGCUAUUUUACUCAAACUUGGUCUACUUUUACGUUAAUACAUAAAGUUCAAGUGUUCAUAUUAUAAUUAUGGGAUCUCAGUUUAUUGGAUUCAAGGUUAUAAUGACCAAAUUACUUAUUCAACAACUUUAUUAAAUAAUAUCUCUAUAACUACUUUAUUUUGCAAAAUAUACAAUGUUCCACGUUUACAAACCACACGAGUUUUUAGUACAUAAAAUCCAACAAUAUUUUCAAAAAUAGAUUCAUAUCCAUUAUAAUAAUUUAUGAAAAGGUUAUAUUGGAAUGAGUUGGUCAACUGUUAACCUUAAGUUGAUCUUUGAUCGAGAUUGGAGUGAGCUCGGAUCAGCCUUUGAGUUUUGGAUCCAAAUAUGAGAUGGAAGUGGUAUAAUAAACUUUUAUGCUCGAAAUCAAUGUAGUACAAUUACGAACUUUAUCUUAGUUGAGCUAUGUUUGUGUUUGAUAAGAUUUUACUUUAAAAAUUGAGUGUAAGUACAUACAAUCCUUUAGAAACAAAAUGUGUAGUGUUUCAAUUAACCUACUUUAUAUACAGAGAGAAAGAAACCAUGCGGUUGAUGAAUUUGUGCUACAUUCAUUCAUAUAUGUGUGAUGAACCCUUAGAAUCAACCACAAACCUAUAUGAUAAGACAAGUGAAUUCAUAUACCAAACAUAAACUCACCUUCUCAAAAUACAUUAUAUUCUUAUCUAAACCAACUAUUAUGUGUGUGCCAAAUACAUGGUAAAGAGUUUACACGACCACAUCUUCGACACGGUCGAGGUUCGCCUUUAUCCAAUCUCUUCUCUAGUUUUGUUUAUGCAUUUUAAGGCAAUUGUUUAGGUUUAAGUGAGGAUCUUGUAGCAAGAGACGGUCUCAUUUGGACAAUUUGGUCUUCACUAACUCCCAUUCUCUUAGCUAAACGCCCUGCCUCAAAGAAUCUCCUUACAGCCUCUCUCAUAUACUGCCUACCUUCUUUCACAUUCAUAUCCUUUCCAAUGGCUUCAGGGUAACUAGUGAAGAUAUUGUCUCCUUUCAUAACUGCAGCCAACUGCAUUAGCUCCUGCUGAAACUCGGUAAGAUUCGCCUUUUCAUUUGCCGGGGUCUCCCUGAUCUUCACCGGUGUUGGGAGUUGUUCUAUAUUGAAAUUGGGUAAACAGAAAUGUAAGUUCAAACUGAUAUAGUUUUCUUGGAUUUGAUCUGUGGUAAUUAAUAUGGUUAAGGAUGUGUUCUGAACUCACCGGGGCAGUCGGUUCUCGGCUCUGUGCGGGUUUGCACAAUGAAUUCGAAGGAUCCGGCCCACUCGUCCCUCUUGGUGAGGAAGGGAGAAGAGAGGUUGAAGAGCUUCUUGACAGUGGCAGGAAUGGAGGAGUGUUCAAACUCGGAGGUUUGGAAAGGUGAUCCUUUAGGGCUAUGGACAACUGCAUCACCAUCACAAACAUUUUGUUAAUUCUUCUCAAAUGAAACUACCAAGUCUUUAGAGCUUUUUCCAUAAUAAUUCGAUAUACAGAAAUAUCUAUUAUCAGUAAACUUAUGAUCUUGCCAUAUUUUCUCCCUUUUACACACGCAUCAAAUUUCAAAAUAGAUUUUAGAUCUUGGUAUGAAGUGGGAAGUAAACAAAAAUAAUGAUAACAAUAACGUUUAAAUAUUAAUAACUUAAGUUCUCUUCCUAAUUAUACUUUUGUUUUAUGUUUUUAGUUUUUGAAAAAUAUGCAUGUUUUCUUACAGUUUAUUACCGUGUGAUUUGUAUCGAUAUUAAGUAAAAAAUUACCUUCUUAACUUGGUUUUUGAAAACAUGGGUAAAAUGUAGAUAUCUAAGGAAGGAACAUUUUGACUUGGUUUAUUUGAUAAGAACAUUAUACCACCAUAUAUAUAUAUACAAUGUUUUAAAAACAUAGUUUUCAAAAAUUCUAAAAGCAUAGUUUUCAAAUUUUGACUUGGAAUCAUGGGUAAAAUGUAGAUAUCAAACCAAAAGAUUUAAGUUUAAUUUUAAAAAACUAAAUUGUUAACCAACAAAACUUUAGUUUUCAGUUUGGUCACACUCUUUUUAUUGAUUUUAUUGGUCUAACUUCAUAAGUCUAUCUCUAAGCCAUAUUUUUAAGUAGUCAUAUUCCUAUUUUCUUACAUAAAAAAUUAACAACUUUUAAAGAAAAUAAAUGGCCACAUGCACCUUUUAGUUUGGAUGCAGACCAGCACUGUAAAUUUUCCAUUAGCUCCUUUCAGUUUUAUUUGAUAAGAACAUUGUACCACUACACACAUAUAUAUAUACACACACAAUGAUGGGAUACUAUCCACUUAAUUAAACGUACAUUUUUGUUGCUUUGUUUUUUGUUUCACUCAAAAAAUAUCAUAAUAGUAGACAAUUGUCCUCACUUAUUUAUAUGUAUACAUACUAUGGUGUAUCUCUUUUAUAUAUCUCUAACCAAACAUGGGAUUUUAUUAGCACUUCAAACAAUUAAAAGUUUUCAAAUAUAAUGUAACCAAAAAAAUGCUUUUCUUAUAAUAACAAAAUUAAGAAUAAGUUGAAACAAUAAUGGUGAUCAAGUUAUUCAUUUAAAUAAAGUUGCUUUUGUAUUUUUUUUAAACUCUUGAAAACAGGUCAAACCAAACCAUCAUAAAUUCAAUCCAAAACAUAUAGUUAGGAAGUAAGACUGGAUAACUGUUUUGAGCAAGAAAAGCAACAAAAAGAGAAGUUGGAAAAACAAAUGGGCAUUGUACUUAGUCCCUUUCUAAAAAAUAAAAUCUGCUACCUUUUUAUUGCAAGUUGUUAUUGGUUACAGAAAAAGCAGUGGGAAAACUAGAAACUAUAUGAUUUGAUUUUUGAAAGUCUACAUCUCAAUCUUCUUUUUUAUUAUGUAGAGCCAUGGCUCACUCCCAUAUUCUCACAAAAAGCCAAAUCUUAGCUGUGAUGCAAUUUUCCUUCCUACUAUACAUAAAAUCAAAAUAACUAAUGUAUUUUCUACCCUACAAGUUUUUAUUACCUUUUAGGAUAAUACAUUAAAUUGUGUGUUCUCUGUAUUUGUUUCAUUGUUUGUGUAUUUUCUAUUGGUUUAAUAUAUAAUUUUCUUGAGUUUUUUUUCUUUUCUUUUCUUUUCUUUUUUUUAUUGUAUAUUUAGAAUGUUCUGUAAAUUUAGAUUUUACUACAAUUGUUUGUUUAUUUAUUGGUUUAAUAUAUAAUUUCCCUUUUUUCUAUUAUAUAUCUAGAAUAUUCAGUUCGGUGAAAAUAUAUAUAUACACACAUGUGUACAUAUAUGAGUUUGCCAGCAAAAGUAUAGGUUUUUGUUUUUUUUAAUUUGUGUAUCCUUUUACUUCCUACCAUUUUCCAUAUUAAGCUCAUAUACUUAAUUACUUCUAAAUAUUUAAUUAAAGUAUUUAUACAUAUACCAAAACCAAAGUUAAAUUUUAUUUUAUUUGUAAAUAUAUUUACUAAUUUUGUUAUUUAAAGCAAUUUCCUCCAACAAAAUUGAUUUUAUUAUUUAAAAUUAAUUUUAAAAACUAUUUUAAAAUUAAAAUAGAUAAAUUUUUAAUUUUUAAAAUUUAUCAAAAGUACCAAAACUCAAAAGAAUUAUAGAAAAUUGGUAGUGUGUAAUCAUUUUUUAAAUAUUAUUUAUUAUUAUUUCUAAAAAAAAUAAUUAUAGUAGAAUUUUUAAAAAUAAUACAUCUUACCAAAUAUUUACAACCUAUAACAAAUUCUAUUGUUGAUAACCAUUGAUAAUUCUAUUGUUGAUAAUCAUUGAUAUGGUGUAAUGAUAGAAGUCAUCAAUGAUAAAAAAUCCAAACUAUCACUCUAAAAUUUUGUUUAAUUUAUUUUUCUAUUUUAAAAAAUAUUCUAGAAUGUAAUAAAAUAUUUUUUAGAAAAAACUAAGAGGUGUACAAGUAAAAAGAAUUAGCAUAGAAUGAACGAUGUAUCACCUUUUAAAUAUUUGUUUAAUCGUUAUUAAUGUGUUAAUAAGACAUAUAACCAAAUUUUCACUCCCAAUGUUCAACUAGAAAAUCAAUAAUAACAUUAAAGAAAGUACUUUAAUCCCAAGGGAAAAUUCAAAUCCAUUAGAAAACAAAAUGACAAGCAAAAUAAAUAUUCGAAAAUAAACAAAGCAUAUGAGAGCUAUGAUAAUUAAAUAAAUAAAUAAACAAGAAAUUUAACCAAAAACAUAAUUUAAAUUCCAAAAAUAUUAUAAAACAGAAAUUAUAAAUAAUAAACAAAAAAUGACAAAAAGAACAAAUAAAGAAGAGGAAGAAGAUAAAAGAAUACAUACCAGUGCCCUUCUCUAUCCACGGUGAGAUCAUGAUGGUCGGAACUCGAACUCCGAGCCGAUUAAAUCCAAACAAAAACGGCUCCGGUCCGACGAUUCCGUCGGGACUAGGUACACCGGUGACAGGCGUUGGAACGUGAUCGAAAAAUCCCCCGUGCUCAUCAUAAGUGAUGAUGAACAGAGUUUCAUUCCACUGCGGCGACGAUCUAAGCGUCUCGUAAACCUCCUUAAUGAACAUCUGUCCUUGAUAUACAUCGUGCGACGGAUGAUCGUCGUUCGCCGGCUCCAGCGGCAAAUCUAUAUACCGUUGCUCCACCACCACGUAGUUCGGCAGUUUCCCCUGCUUUGCAUCCUUCUUGAAGUUCAGACCGUAGUCGUGAAAUUUAUUCACGUAUUUCAGUUUCCGUAGAUUCCGAUAGAACAGCGUCGCUGGAAUGUUCUGGUAAUAGAUUCCAAAUGACAUUCCAGCAUCGUCGAGAUUCUCGAAGAUCGUUCGCUGAGGAUAGCCUUUAGCAAGAAGUGCCGGAAUGUUACUGGUAGCUCCAGCGGAGGUCGCUGAAUGAACAUAAAGGCGAUUCGGUUGCGUGGAGGCCGGUACAGACGCAAACCACCUGUAAAAUCAAUUCGCACAUUCGGAUUCUAGAAUUUUAAAAUCCUUCAAAUAGGAUCAUAGAAUUCCAGAUCUGGAAGAAAUUAGAACAAAAAAUCAAUGAAUCACCUGUCGAAAACGGCGAACUCGGAGACGAGAGUUUUGUAGACAGCGACCUUAUCUGGGAGGAAUCCGUUCAUGACAUCGCCAGACAUGGCGGAGGUAUUAUCCAUGGAGAAAGCCUGUUGAGCGAAACCGUUCAUAGGAGGAGGAUUAGCGGAGGUGUUGUCGGAACCGAAAAUCUGUUCACGAAUGGCUUGAAAGGAGUGGCCAGGGUCGGGGUCGACAUAGUGAGACUGGUCUUGGAAGAAGAAGCGCUUGGAGUUGGGAUCGGUGGUGGAGAGGAGGUUGGAUUCAGAGCCAUCGACGCCGUUGAUUUGAGGAUUAAGUUUUUUCAUCCAGCCAAGCAUGUGGUCGAAGGAGCGAUUCUCCAUGACAAGAACGACAAUGGUGGUGAUUGGAGAGGCAUGGAGGAAGGGAGUGAUGAUGAAGAAGAAGAAGAAGAAGAAGGGAAUGGAUUUGGGAGCCAUUGAAGGAGUUGAUGAAAUGAAGAAUACCGUGAGUUUGUUUGUAUUUAUAAAGUGAGGGGGCAGAUGGAUGUGUGGGGCAAUUUGUUAAGUGUCGUUUUGAUUCUGUGUAAGUUUUGGCAGCUGCUUCAACCUUUUACAUUCUCUCUCUUUCUCUCUAUUCAUUGUAUUUCGGUAAUGUUUCCAUUCAUUUUACAUUCUUUUCUUAAAAAAGAAUAGAAAAAUUAUUUCAUACCCUACAUCUCUUCAAAAUAUUUAGGAAUAAAACUAAAAUUUUACCAUCUAUCAAUUUAGUCCCUUUAGUAAACAUUCAUACCAAUCUCACACGAAUAUAAGUCGGUUGGCCGGUUUGGUCAUUAUAAAAAGUUGAAAUUUACCAAUUUAAAAUUUUCUCAAAUCAACACUGACCGACACGUUUCCUUUUUCAACCAACCAACAUUAGUUCAGUCAAUGGACUCAUUUUUUCGAUUUAUCAUCAUCAUGAUUAAUAGACACGCAUAAACUUCUAUCGCUGUCUAUCUUGAUACAUUUAGAUAAUGAUUGUAUAUUUUAUUAUAUUUCGUACAUAUUUUACUUCAUUUUGCUACAUUUGAAAAUAGUAAUGAACUAUUUUAAAAUAAAUAAAUCUUUUGUCUUCAAAUAGCUUUACAAAUAUUUUAUGUGUAUUUUAAACAAAAUUGUUUAUAUAGAAAUGACUUAUUUAAAAAAUAAUUUUCUAAAUCAUAAUUAUGCUCUAACAUACAUACUUUUUUUUGUAUGAGGGUCAAAUCUUCAUACUAGGGCUAUGCAAAAAAUAGUAGAAAAUUGAAUCGAUAGACAAAUUAAAUCGAAACUGAAUGCAUAUGGUUCAAUUCGAUUUGUGUUAAAUUGAAACUGCUUCUUAUGCGAUUCGAUUCGGUUUAAGAUAUUAAAUUGGUUCUAAAACCGAAUUGAACUACUUUAUUUUUAAAAAAACAAAAUAUAUAAGUAUAACUUAACUUAGGGUAAACAAUACUCGAAAACGUAGAACUCGAACGACACUCAUAAAGCAUAGGGAGACGAAGACGACAUCCUUUGCCAUGAAAACCCUUCGACUCAAUAUCAACUCCAACAAUGACCUUCACUCUGACCCUUAUUGUGUGAAGUGAGGCAAUGGUAAACCUCUCAAAAUUCGGCAACUCUAGCAACUAUUGUUGCAAUGCCCUUCAAACCAUCUUAACAACCUUCACUCCGACAAUGGUAAGUCUCAAACUCUUUGUCACAUGUCGCCCCGCAUGCAUCCUUAACCCUGCAAUAUGAGAUAGAACGCGACUAGCAACUUUGAACUUUAAACAAAUAAGCACUAGAAAACCUAACUUAAGCAACUUAACCAUAAUAAUUUUAAUAUCGCAAACUAUUUCUCUUAUUAACUUAAAAUCAUCCAUUCUACAAAUUUUACUUUAAAGUACAAGCAUGCUUAAUACAAGAACUUAACAAAGAAAUUCUAAACACAUUCACAACAUUCAACCUUCAACCUUCAACAGCCUAGCUUGCUCACCUUCUUUAACCCAAACUUGGCCUCAACACCUAAAUCUUAGGGAAGGGGAAGCUUAGAACAUAAGGUCAAUGACUUAGUGAGUGAUAUAUUUGAAAAUAUUUUUGGGAAAAUAUAAUACAAUCACAUAAAUAUAGUUUUCGUUUCACAAACGCAGAUUCAAUGCCUCAAACCAAUAAACAUAAAUCACAUAAACACACAUUAGUUUUUCACUAUUCCUUUCGCCAAGAACAUGAAUCAUCCUCAUGCGUAGAAUACUAUGAGGUCUCUUUCAUCAUCAACAUCCUUGAGAAUUUUCUAGUUCAUUUCUUGUUGUUCGGGCCGCUAAGCUCAAUACACUCCUUUUAUGUAUUGACAAACUUCACUCCAACAUGCAAUUCUUUUCACCUGGUUGUCUUUACUUCUUAUGUGCACAUAAUAGCUAGAUCAUUUAUAGGAAUAUGACUAAUGGUUUACUCUUAAUCAAAGCAUACAAUACAAUCAAUAAAACAUGAACUUUAACUCUAAAACAUAAUACUAAAACUUUUUUCAUAAAACAUGCUUUACAGAAAUUGAUUCUCAACAUAAAUAUGUAAAAAACGAGAGCGUGCUUUCCGUUAUCCAAAAUAUAACAUGUUUCAAUACUAAAGAAAAAACUUUGAAAAACUUUUUUUUUCUUUGAAAAUCCACUCACAGAAUUAAUUAUUUUUUCCAUUAGGUAGAUCUAUUAAUUCUUUUUUCCUUUAGGUAGAUCUCUCAAUCCUCUUUUUGCUUAGAACUCCUUGAAACCUCAAAAGCUUCUUGUCAGCAAGCUUCUUUCUUCUACAGUAGAGUAAUUCUAAUGAUUUCGUUUGCUUAAUCCUUCUUCUAUCGUCCUUUCUCCCUUAUUUAAUUUAAUUUCCAAAAUAGCUUAGUCAUCCUUAAGUUCUUAAAACUUGUCACCUCCUGCUUCUUACAAUUUUAAGUCCUUUGCAUGUUUAAACAUUUGGAUUUCAACUCUAUCGAACAUUUAACUCUUAAUGAUCCUGAGCGGAAGUGGCUUGAGAUCACCUCGAGACCUUCCACUUUUCCCUUUUACCUUCAAUUUCUGUCGAACUCGUGUUCGAGAUUGUUCGAGAUCUUCUUAUACUUGCUUCUCCACCCCAAAUUGCAAUGAACAAGCACUGAGAUUGCCUCGAGAUGAACCUUCUAUCUUCAAUUACUUUUCUACUUCCAGUCCCAUCUAAGUAAUACACGAGAUGGCUCGAGACCCAACUCUAAAACCCUUCUAUUUUUUACCUUGGUAGUACUGCACCUAGAUGCCCUCAUUAUAGCACUAGAAUUUGCUCUCUACUUUCUAUCUUGCUCGUGAUCACUCAAGGUUGUCUUGAGAUUUCAUUUCUCUUUUAGGCUCGGGUCCCACACCAACUAUGAAAAUAAGGGUUUGAAAUUGGUUUAAACCCUUAUUUUGUAAAUCUCAAACCCUUAUUUCCAUGAUUCACUUUGGCAACGGCGCAACUACUUAUAUUGGUUUUAAAUUGAAAAAUCAUGUUUCAAUUCUUAUAUUGGUUUUAAAAUAUUUAUGUUGUAGGCACUAGGCAAAAUGUCAACAAGCUUGACCAAUAACGAUGGUAACACUAAAACAAACAUAAGGAGCAAAAGCAACAAUUGUUCUAGUGUAAACAAAAUUUGACAAAAUUCCUACACUUCAUAGGAAAAAUCAAGUGUAAAAAAUUGUCUUUUAGUAGUUUUGUUUUAGGGUUUAAGCUCACGUAUAACUUAGCACCUACCACAAUAACAACCUCCAUAUGAUCCGCUUCUAUAUACAGAUAGCACACCCACCAUGAAUUAAGCUAGGCCCAAAGCCAAAUCACAAUCCUCCAUCCAUAUCCUCACCUAGGUUCAGGAUCUCGAAUCUCCAGUCACGACUUCUUUCAACUCUGAAACCCCCUAACAACCAUAGGUAACGCUACGAAAAAAAUUCACAUAGCCUUAGGAAAAUCACAACAUUAUUUCAUAAAAAUCACAUGUUUAAAGUUUAAAACUCAACGUGGUUAGAAACACAUUUUCAAAUCAUUUGCGAUCCUUAGCCAUCAACACAUAUUUUUAUAAUAACAUUUCAUUCAAACCAUCCAAGUUUAAUGACAGAUCAAUGAGUAUUAUUCUAAACCAGUUGUCAUCUAAAACAUGACUAAUAAAUUUAGGUUCAACAAUAAUUUCAAAAUAUAAGAGUUCAUGAAAACCGAAAACCAUAUUUGAAAACAUUUCUAACACUUAGUUUAUAAAACAAUCAUGGUGUACUAUAAUAGCAUAUAUAAAUUUAUAAUAAAAAUACUUGAAAAUAAACCACACAUUAUCAAUGACUCGAUCCACCGGUGAUAUACGCUUUCCCCACUUCAAUUUGGCCUGGAGCAAAGAUUAAAGUCUAUUAGUUAUUUUCACAAAGCAAGACAACACAACAAUCUCCAAAUCACUUCAUAAGGUAAAACUCAAACUAUUUAAUGUGUUUAAAGUCCUUGAAUUCUCAAUUCGCCUUAGACUAGAAUAGACUCUUCGCCUAUGAACCCUUAAACUAGAAAUCUAGAUAAAACUCAACGAGUCUUUUAUGUAAAUACAUUUUUAUCCUCAUUAUUGAUGAUGUUUGGGAUUUAUAUCCAUUAUAUCAACAAGUCAAUUAACCUUAAAUACUUCGUAAGAUUCCCUAAAUCAUUUAUGUUUCAAACAUGUAAAAACAACACCCAACAACCUCCAAAGCUAGAAGAAAGUCUCCUCUUGACCUCUAACAUUCAACUUUAGGACCCAAGUAAUAUGAGUAAUUUAAUCUUAACAAUUAAAAUCAAUGGGCAUUUAAGAACUCGAAGAAAACUCACUUAAAUUACUCCAACACUUACCAAGCACUUAGCAAAGUACCAUUAACUUCAAUGAAAAACCCUCUAACGACCUUCAACUAUCGAAUCCUAACAUCCAAAAACCAUGGGUACUCAAGACCCGCUAAAUAAAGCUUAGAAUCUUACCCAAGUGGUGCGAAAAUGCCCAAUUCCAAGCUUCCUCAAGGCUAGACAGCGACUCAAACUCUUCUAAAACCCAAACCUAGCAUCAAAAUUAUGGGUAUUAUGAAAAUUAAGUCAAAACUUUAUGGGUAGCCAAAACUCUUCAAGAAAUCCAACUAAAAAAAAUACCUCAAAUCCACAAUAGCUCCAACAAAAGAGAUCAAGCUUCAUAGGCAACCAAUCACAACACAUAAUAGGGCUCAAUGUCGAGCUCAACUAUCAAUGGUAAAAAAUCCAAACAACGAUGAAGAAGGUGCAAUGGCUCGAUGCUCGGAGAUCUGGCACAACUGAAUGACAUGAGUUUGAUGGUGCGAUGCACGGUGGUUGAAGUCAACGAGUUGAGUGGAGCAGGUUGGUCAAGUACAAAAUAAAGAGGAGUCAUAUGACUAGAGCUUUGACUGGCGAAGAUUGGUUGUUCGGGGAAGAGAUGCAUCACGCAUAGUAGAUUUUGUGAGGGGACACGUGCGUGGAGAAAGAGGGGAAGACGAAUCCAGAAUUCCACUUUUUUCUUGUAAAGAAAAACAUAAAAUAAUUUUUAUGCCCUCAACUCAAAACCAAACUUCAACUUGACCAUUUUCUUAGUUUUAAUUUUCAAAUCAUUACCAAAAUAAAAUUGAUUAUAAAAUUUUCUCAAAAAAAGAUAUAACCCAUAAAGAAUUUACACUUGGAUUUUAAACUUGUUUUUUAUAACUUAGAGAAUAUUGAUAUACAUAAAAGGAGAAUGGAAUGAGGGCUUACAUGCUAGGGCAUAUCUCAUACUUUUUUGCUCGAGUUGAAGGACAAAGUGUUUUUUAGAUAGAACUCACGCCAACUCGGGAAAGUUUCCAAGCAAGACUAGAAAUAGAGAAUGAUAUAUAAGGGUUCUCAGGAAACCUCGAGGUCGAGUCCGACCGAGAUUAAGAGAGAUAUCAAAUGGUUAUCGGGGCUAUAUCGGACUGUGUUUCGAGACUAGAGAUAAAGGAGUUCUUUUAAAGGUUUCUUGAAGUGAUCUUGGGCCAAUUACAGUUGAUUGCAUUGAAAAAUAAGAGUUCGAUGGAGUGAUCUUGCUCAUUUAACAACAUUAAGAAGUAUAAGUAUUAAAUGGCAAGACAUCUCUCGAUGUCGUGUGGACUGCACCGAAAGUUUAAAAUUGUCGAUGUCAUCCAUACGAUGUUGGGAGAUGUCUAAGAUCUCCGGACACUGCAUGUUGUGUGUCGGGAGAUUCUCUUCAGACACGUUUCUUUCGACCUCAACUCCAACGAGCGUUUAUGCGUCAAGAGAUCCUUUUUCGUAUAACUCUCGACGCUUUUUCAUAUAAUUUCUUACGCUUUUGUGCAUUGGGAGAUUCCAUUUUUCUUGUAGUGACUUUUGGUUCCUAAAUUUUUAUAGAAGUAACAAUUUAGUCCUUAAAGGGGCAUUUGGAGCAAAAUCUAUGAAAGACUAGAAUAACCCCUUCUUGCUACAAUAAAUAUUAUUUAGAAAUCCUCAAUUAGGCUAUAUACAGUAAAACACUAUUUCAAAAUUUCCAAUUUACUAUGUUUUUUUCUUUUUACACAAGUCAGGUUGGAUCGAGUUAAAGAUAAAUUAUGGACCAAUCCAAAGUCAUCACAAAAAAUUGAACCCUAUUAGUUCAAUAUGCAAGGGUCAACCCAAUCCAACCAAACCCAUAAUUUACAGGUUGAGUCGAUUAUGUCACUAGGUUGGUUUUUUUUUUUAUAAUUUAGACUAUUUUAUCAUUCUUUCCUUUUUUACAUUAAAAGUUGAAUUUUUACAUUGAACAAAAUAUCAUAAAUGACCUAAAUAUGUUACAUCAAUUUUUUAAAAAAUUAUAAUCAAACAAACAAGUAAAUUUCAAGUGUUUACCCUUAAAUACAUAAAAACACUUUAAACCUAAGUUUAUGUAAAAUUCAAGUCUCCAUUCAAAUUCAUUCAAAAUAUAAAUAAAAAGUAUUUAAAAACAAUUACAUGCAAAGUUUAAGUCUACAUUCAAAUCCAUUUAAUAUAUAAUAAUAAUAAAUUUGGAUUGGGUUAGGUUGACUAUGUUACUAAAUCCUAUAACUCAACCCAAUUCGAAAUUUUUAGAAAAAAAAAUUUCAACCCAAUCCAACACUUACAGUUUGGGUUGGGUAAUUCGACUUGGUCGAAUUACCUCGUUUUUUUAACGAUCCAACUUUUUUCGUUACGGUUUUUACUAUUUUAUAUUUAUCAUUUUUUUUUCGUUCACUGUUUACUAUUUUCUUCUCAAACUAAAAUAAUUUACUACUCAAGCAGAUCAUGUUAUAACUCAAUUAUAAUAACUAAGACUAUAAUAACCCACUUAUUGGCUCCAAACAUCCUUUAAAUCUUAAUAUAAAUAACAAUUUAUUCCCUACACUUUGAAAUUUAUAAGAAUUUAGUUCUUAUCAUAAAAAAAAAAUCUUUUUUCAAAAUUAAGUGUAAACUUUUAUUAUGUAACAACUUAAUCUUUAUAGUUUAACCCAAACAACGGUAACAAACUUAACUGCUUCCCAAUUGGUUGGUUGAUCGUCUCACAAACAAAAAUUGAUUCAAUAUUGAUAAUAUCAUUUAUAACGAAAACUAAAUUAUCACAAUCAUAAAAUAUAUAUAGAUUAAAUUGUUAGCUAUAAACUUAAAAGAGGUAAAGUCUAUCAAAAUUGAUACCUAUAGAAGUGUGUUAUUAAUACAAUCUAACAUUUUAUUAUAUUCGGUAAAUAUUGUAUUUUUUCUUACUUCCUAAUAAUUAUUUAAAAAUUCAACUAAUAAUAAUUUUGAUAUUGUUGUGAUCAGUUAAUUCCGAGCUGUCAGAAACAGGUCUGACAACGUCAGAUGCAUAGGAAAAAAAAUUGAAGUCAGGUUUCCCGAAAAGCAAAGCUAAUGCGUGAGAGAAACCAAUAAGUUAAAAUAAGUUUGUAAUAAAAAGAAGAACAAAUUAGUCUCUCACUGCCUUCCUCAAUUCUCCAAUUCCACUUGUUUCAUGCAUCAAACUUUGAAUAGUAAAAAGUUGCGUAAUACAAAAUUUAGACCCCAUGUUUAUCUCCGGUAAACAUUAAUAAAUUAGUAUGUACUCCCCUUCCUAUUUUGCUUCCAAUAUAUUGAAUGCCCAUUAUGAUAUGUCCAUAUUUUCUAAACUCAAAUUUAGCAGGUUUAAGUAUGGUAAGCAUAAAUCUUCCAUAAAUUUGGAUAUUCUUUGUUUGAACCUUUGCAAUUUUUGUUUGAAAGUAGAUGGAAACCAAGAUUUUCUCUUUUUGAGACAUUUUUAAACAUGUUAGACUUGGUUAGUUUCAACUUUAGUGCUCUACCCAAAAACAAGAAUUUUGAAUCCCUUCUCUUCAACCCCACUUCUACGACUUAAAAUCGAAAAGAAAGCACAUACAAACAAAAGUAUCUCCUUUCGUAUAUUAUUUUAUUUAAUGGUUUAAGAAAAAAUAUACUAUUUUCAUCGUUCUAAUUUAGAAAGAAAGAUAGGUUAUCUAGUAAUAUGUUUACCAUAUAUUUUGAAAAUAUAUCAACAUAUUAUAUGUUCUUUAUAUGAAAAUGCAGUGAGUCCUAUCUUGUUCGUACUCAAACUUCAAACUCAUAUGACCAAGUCUCAUAUGUCAUAACUUAAUCAUAUUUUCGUAAACGAUAGAUGAUGCAACAAAAGUAUAACAUAUUAUUGUGGAACCUAAUAGAAAGUUUAAUGUUCCACGUUUUGGUAUCUCUUAGAGCCACCUUAAAACCCUUGUAAACAUGCAUAGCACCAUCUUUAUCUUUGAAACUGGAACCCUUAUGAUCGAGCACAUUAAAAGAUAUUAGGCUCUACAUCAUUAGUGGAAUAUGUCUAACCUUGUUUAAAUUGUAAAAGACACACCAUCAUAUGUUUUCAUCUGAAUGAAAAAAUUUUACCUAUCAUGUACAUAUUACCGUUAGCAAUACUAACAUUCCCUUUGUCAAUUUGUUAAUACAUUCAAAUUCACUUUUUGUUCAUACACAUAUGGUAAGAUGCCUCAAUUAAAUUCAAGAACCCACAUGUUAUCAUAAUGUGAAUGUUCAAUCACAACUGAGGCUACAUCUCUUUUAGAAUCAACCUCAACUUCUUACGGACGAUCUAUCUCAACUUCUUUAGAGUCAAUCCACAUGUUUUACUAACGCAUUUUUCUCUUAGGACUUUUGUUAUUCCAAUGGUCUUUUUCUCCAGUAACGGCAAAUAUCACUAGACUUGAACCUUUGAACUUCAAAUAUUUAUGGUUUUAGUUCGAAUUUUGCUUUCUAAGAUUUCCAUGUCCCUUGCUCCAUGUGGUAGCUAACUCAGGCCUUUAAUUUUUUAUACUAGAACUAGUUGCAUUCAGACAAGAGUCUCUAGUAAGCAAAGUGGACUUUCCUUCUUCUAAAGUUAGAGUUUCUUUUCCUUCACUAUAAGAGUCAUCAAAUUCUCAUAUGAUAAGAUCUUUACAGAAGAACAAUAUUUAUAUGUACAUAUCACAAAAGAACAAUAUUAAUACUAUUGUAACAAAAGUUUAAAUAUAACUACUCUCUAACUCCCAAAGUCAACCGUUCUCGAAGAUUGAAGCUCCUUUAAAGAUACAAGUUUUCUUCCAAAACUUCAACUUUAAAAACAUCACAUGCUACGCUUCCUCCAAAUCAAGUGUAGGUGUUCAACCGAGAAAAAAUCAAAUUAUCAAAUUAUAGAGAUCGAACCACUUCGCAUCAAAUCAACGCAAGCACAACAUCAACACAAAUCCAACUCCACGAACAAAAUUUCUCCAAAAAUCUCGUAUGAACACUGAUGAACAUUCAUUAACUAUGGGACACUUCACUAAAGACUCAUAGUUGCACUCUUAUAAACUUUAGAGUAUUUACAUGUUCACUAACUCAUGUCGUUUUUUUAUAAGCCAAUUCUUUACAAAUUGUUUGUAACUAUAGCUAUGUCAAAUUUUCAUUAUACUCUUGUAGUUAAUAUUGCUUCUUGAGUACCAUUGUCCUACCAUAAACAAAGUUCUUCUCAAGUCAACGAGAGGAUGAGAGUUCAUUGUUCAAACCUCGAAAUCAACACUUAAAAGAACAACCUUAAAAUUGAGCCCAUGCUCUGUAAGCAAGGAUAUUAAACCCCACAUAAUUUUCAAACACAAUAAAUUGAGCAUCCCCAAUUCCUCAACGAAUUAUUAAACACAAAUAAACAACAAACAUAAUCAAAUGAUGCUAACUUUUAAGAUUAUCAUUCAAGAAUUAUGUUUAACCUAAAAUUAAAUGUGGCCUAAGUUGAUUCCAUCCGUACUCCACAGGGUAGUUUUUUCUUUUUUUUUUGGAUUUUGACUUCACAUAAACAAAAAGGACUUCUAGUCCUUUUUUUCAAAUGUAGUAUGCAUUUAUUAUCCAAAGAAUAUAUUUGGUAUCCAAUUCAUAUUCCGUUAUCAUUAUAUACCUGCAGUCAGAUAGGCAUAUCAACAGAUCUAAUAUGUACAAUAAAACCUUAAACUGCAAUGAAUCUUCAAGAACCAAGGAAUAAAGGUGGUAUACAAGAUUCAAAUUUAAAAUCCUCAAUUGGAGAAUUUCACAUUUGUAUAAUUUUAAUUUUAAUUUUAAUUUGAGUUUCCAUGGUCUAAUACCAAUGAAGAAUAUGAGACAUCAUUGAUAGGGUGAGUUAUCAUUAUCAAAAAUAUAUUUCAAAGUGAUUUAAAACCUAGAGAUAAAAUGAUUUAACUUAACAUUUCAUCUCUGAAGAAAAUGCCCCAUGUUGAACAAAGAACGUCAAUCUCCUAAUGUAUGUAACUAUUCUCCAUUUAACAUGAAUCCUAGAUAAACCAAAGUUUAAAACCUAAAUUGAGUCCUUUAAAAAGGUCAAAAUGUAACACCUUGGUUGUAUGCAAAAAAAAACUAAACAGAAGCAAUUUUACAAUAGUAUUCAUUUACCUAAGAAAAGAACCGUAAACAAAACGACGUUAUUUCUUUCUUCGAACAACGUGGGAUGGCACUUUGCCAACCAUGGCUUCGAAUGUGGCUCUUAGCUUAGAUUAAGCUUAGAUAAUUGUUUUAGCAAAAAAGGCAGCAUGUGAAUAUCUUCCUACACAAGCAAAUUUCAGACAGAAGCAUACGUGAUAAACAGAAUUCUCAAAUCUCAUGCACAACGAUAGAAAAAGAGAAACCAGAACAGUACAUUAGUAACCAACAAACACGUCUGACGCAUUUCACAAAUUAUUUUCGACUCGACAUCGACAACAAUUAAAACUAGGAAGGUUCCUAAAGAUUCCAGCUCAGUCAUAACAAAAUAGUGCAUAAUAAGCAACCCCCCUCUUUCACAACUGAGAGCAAAGGGGUUGAUUUCAUAUUCAAAGAGUGUAGUCAUUCAAACCAAACAUAUGAAGAUUUUGAAACCCACACCAUCAUCCAGCAGUUCAGGUAAUGUAGACUCAUUCCUACCCGCAUAGAAUACGCCAAAAAGUCUUCAGAGACAGAACUUGCCAAGCAGCACAACAAUAUCAUCACCUGCCUUCGGAUGAUAGUAAAAGCAAUUUCGACAGCUAGACUCGACAGUUAAGUAGAUUACUGAGUACACCAUCUUAUCCCACCAAUCAAUCCCUUCAGAUAAAACCCCGAUGAACUUAAGAAGACCUUCUAACCACCAAAACCAACCUGACAAGGCAAUUUACUUCCAUACGAACAGCUCAUCGAACAACGUUCCCAAUUUUCUCUUCCUCCUUUUACUGGAGAGCUCGGCCAUUUUGCUACAAAAAAGACAACAGAGAACGUGUAGAAGAAAAUCAUCUUACACCUAACCAUCCAUGUUUAGGUAUACACACAAAAUCAGAAAAGAAACACUGACAAUCAAAAUAGACAACUUACACGAAUGUAUCAGUCCUUACACAAUUUAAUUUAAAGAACGAAGAUUUCAUUGAAAGAAAAUAUAAGGUCAUGCAUCAAAAAAUGAAUAAAUUUAAAUAUAAAUAUAAAUAAUAAUAAUAAUAGAUUUAAAGUGAUGUAACUAAUGUAUGUACCGAUCCAACAAAAUCUUGUUUACAUUUCUAAAAAUGUCAUGAUAACAACUAAUUAUCAUAAUUUCAACUGUUCAGAAAAAACAAGAAAAGACUUUUAAACACAAAAUUCGAAACUCAUGAAUGACUGUAAUUUAACAUAACUAUAAAGUUGCUCUUUCAAUAGCUUGUAAAUCCCUCUGUUUACAUUAAUUGUUCAAGUCUAAAAUUAAAGAAAGCUUGGAUGCAUUUCAAAAUACACAUAUGCGCUUAACUUCAAUAAAAGAAGUUCAUAAGUUUAGAUUAAAUUAAACAAAAUCUUGUUUACAUAAAGACCUAGAAAUUGAAGCCCACAAAGAGGAAUUAAACCGCAGCUCCCAAAUCUAAUCACUCAACCUCCCAUCUCUCUAGAAAUCCUAUUAUUUCUCUCAAGCCAAAAGAAUUUGCUGGUACAAAUAAGACUUGCAAAUGUUUUUUCAAUUAGCAUCCACCACCCCAUACUGGAAAGGAUGCAAGUUAUCAAACACUGAUACACACAAAAUUCAUCUAAGCCUGAAAAAGAUUACUCUAAAGGUGCACGAGGUCUUAUCAAGUUCCUAACUUAUCAUCGGACGACAGUACUUUUCAAGGCAGCAAAGUGAAUAACUAGUGUCAUUAUUAUUUAUUUAUUUUAGUUCUUUCCUUCGAACAAAUAAAAACUAAUGGGAAGAGAGAGAAACAAGAAUGCAGAACCAAUUAGCCUAAGCAGAACUAAAACAUACUUGAAAUUGAUCAGAGACUUCUUUACUGAAAAAAAGGAAGUGAGAAAGCAAUUCAAAACGUAUAGCAACAAGAAAAUGGAAGAUAUGGGAAGAGAAUUACCUGUAUGGUUGCAAGUGCCUGCUCAAAUCCAAGGCCAGAAAUGCUCCAAUAAAUUCUUCAAGAAGCAGCAAAGGUGGAGUUCAAUUUGGCACCAGGAUGUGGUACAAUCACCAUUAUCAUUCCCAAGGACCUCAAGAAUCAAGGAAAUAAGUUAAGACAAGACUAUGAUCCUUUCCAUAAACUUGUCAAUAUCACCACAGUUAAGCAAUCAGUGUAGAUAACUGACAUACCAUCUAUACUCUCAUACUGACAUCACAUGAAGUAACGACCUGUCCAUAUAGACUGCCCUGGAUAUUGCUCAGGCAGCGAAUUAAAGUGUUGGUUACCACCAUUCACAAGCUGUUGAUGAGGCUGCAAAUGUUGUUCAUUGUGUUGUCUUAGCUGCUCAAGCACCUGAAAAUCAGGCCAGCCUUUCUGUUUUCCUAUUGGAGACUGCACGUUUGGAACUUGUUUUCCAGGAAAAGGGAAGUUGAUUGUUGCACUCAACAUAUUACUAACACCAAUUUGCUGAGCAUUCAUAUGAGAGGUGAGAUGCACAGCAUUAGCAGAGUCUUUUGUAGAAGAGGGCAGCUGAUAUCCAUCCAACCAGCUAUAAUCAUCCAUCACCUGAUUCUCACUUCUAAACUCUGAACCAGGAAGGGAAUCAUUAGCAUGCUUAGUUGGAACAUGGUUGAAUCCAGGAGGAGGUCCAAGAUGCCUAACUGGUCGACCAACUGGGUUUUUCCUCAACCCUGUUUGAAGGCUAGAAAAUGCACCUGUAGUCAUUGGAUCAAUGAUGCCUCCAAACGAAGCAGGUACAUCAUUCCUAGAUUGUACAAGAGCUCCUACAGGCAUUUUAUCACUGUAAAAAACAUCAUUAUUAACAGCUUGCUUGAUAGGCAUCAAGUGAGCUGCAGGAUUGAACAUGCUUACAUCAUUCUGAAGAUCAGAUUUCAUCCCAUUCCCAUUCUCCAAUAACCUCAAACUUUGCAAGCUGUCAACAAGACAAGCUUCCUGUUCAAGUGGCCAUUUAGAUGCAUUCGCCUGAAUUGUUUGCCAGUGGAGGGUGUUAAUAUUGGCAGCAGUCACAGGUGCCUGAGAACUUGACUCAAAACCAUUUGAUUGGUAAACAUCAUCAGAAGAGGUCAUCACACCACCAUAGGAUCUUAGAUCCCCUCCAGAAGAAUUUCUUCCAAGUAGCAAACCCUCAUAACCAGACCGAUAUGAAUCAGCAAGUUCCAUUCGCUUCUCUGCAACUAAAGGCUUGAAGACAAUUACUUCAUCCUCCUCUUCCCCUUCCAAAACUAGCUGUGAACUUGGCUUACUGACAGCCAAAUUGUUUGUUUUCUCAACUUGAGUUUCUUGAAUUGCACUGCCUGGACUAGGGAUCAUGCUAGAAGACAAUGGAACGACAAAAUCAUUUGGCACUUGAGGUUCAACACCGGUACAAAACAUUUUCACCUUUGAAUUGUAGUAUAUUGGUUCCUGAUCAAUCUUGACUACACUUGCUAAAGCCUUCCCCGCAGCCAGAAUCCUUUUAAUGCGAGCAACCUUCUCUUUGUUGCCAUCACUCCCAGAAUGCUUCCUUGAAAAAUCCAAUAUCGUCUGUGCAGGAAGAAGUGGCAAGAAUCCCCUUAAUUCAAGAUCCUCCCACAAUGCAAGUCGAUUUUCAGUUUCGCCCUCUUCAUAUUUACUGAGGUUAAAAAAGCAUGUGUCAUCCUCAUCAUCAUCUAGAGACACAGAACCACUUGACAAAAGCUUAUUGAAGAAGGAGAUGCAAAGGUUCCAAAACUUUGAUCUAGCAGUUGCCUGUUUAUCAUCCACUUCACUGUUUGCUGCAAUUUCUGGACAACAUGCCAACCAUUCAACAAAAACUAGAAGGCCAGGCAGAAAAAAACUUGACAAAGGAUCACGCAACUGGGAACAUCUAUCUAGAAUAGAGCCCAUCAAUUCGAAGACUGCAAGAUGUGCAUUCUGGAUCAACACAGCCCGUUGUACAAUUUCUGAAUAUGUCUGUCCUUCAGUUUCUUUAUUCACAUUGUGAACAGUGAAUAUAAGAAUUGCAACAAUUCUAACUAUAAUGAGACUGUUCUCAGCAGUAUCUGUUCCAAAAAGCAGUUCCUCUUCAGGUCCACAAGCCAAAAGUUCAGAGAAAUUACUGAUAACCAAUGAGAGAACCUCUGUAAAGGUCUCUAGGCUGGAUGAGAAGAAAAAUAAGAUUCAUAUAUAUGCUGGGCCCAGAGAAAAAAGGAAGAAAAUGUGGGGGAGGGAGGGAAACAAGUAAAUAGUCAAAGUAAUUACCUUGUGCGUGUGAAAAGAAUUCCAUUUAGACGAACAAAUCUAAUGCAAAAGGAUUUAAAAAGAUCUUGUGGAGAUAACACACUCUCCUUUGGGGGUUCAGUGCUAGAAUCUUUGGUUGCAAGCUUUACUUCUCCCUUCCGUCCUUUUCCACUAAAUCGAAGAGGUGAUUCCUUCUUUGGAGGAGUUUUAGCAAUCCCUGACAGCUGGGAAUGGCUAUGACGAUUCUGCAAAAAAAAAAUAGGAAACAACCAAUAGCUCUGUUAGUUCAGCAUCAACAUUGAACUAAAUGUCCAGGACCAGUAAUAGAAGAACUUGGCUGACAAACAUCUAAACUGCUGUCUGCAUCAAAGUGAUGUAAAUUGUCUUUUAUAAAAAAAAGCAAAAAUAAAUAAAUAAACAAUUGGUUUUUUAUUGGAAACAUGGGUGUUUCAUCAAUAUGAUGAAAUUACAUUACAAAAAGGGAGAGAGAGAGGGUCCAAUCCAAUGGAAUAGCACCUUAAACCAUCAAUGAAGUCAAUACAGUAAUUUCCAAGGCAAAUACAAAAAGCUGGAAACAUGGUACCAAGACAUGUUGGUUGCAAAAGUUCAGAAGCAGAAAGAGUCAUCAAGUAAUUAAACAACACACAUAAUCAUAACAGGUUACUAAUUCAACUUGAGCACUCGGCCUUGAGUUUCAAAUAAUGCAAUAUGAUAUCUAGUAGCUCAGCAUUUUAAAAAUAAUAUCUAUGCCAUGAGCAUGAGAGUCAAAAAGAAAAUACAAAAGAUAGACUGCAGUAUGCGUCGUAAUAAUGGAAAAUACCUUCUCAAACGCAACAAUCAAAUUAUCUCUGGCAGUAGAAAAUGGGGAAUCAACAGCCAAACUACGAAAAUAUCGAUAAACAGCAACCAACUCAUCUCCUGAGUACGAAGCUAAUAUUGCAAGCUGAAAGAUGGAAACACCUCAAACAUAAGUGAGAAGUUCAAAAUGAAGGUGAGAAGCAUAUAAUGUGAGGGCAAAAGCUAAAAAACAAUAAUAAAGAAAUCAAAAUAAGGGAUUAAUAUUCAAAAUCAAUAGACCUGAUGAUGAGGAUUGCCACUUGAUGGCCAAAGUGAUGCUGCUUGCAGGUAGUAACUUGAAGCUGCAGUAUACUCCCGAUUCUUUGAAUCAACAUCCCCGUAUGACCCUUUGUAGCGUGCAAGAUCACCCAAGUAUAUCAAACAACGAUGACAAGAAAUGAGACCUUUCUUCAUGUCAGCAGACUUCUUUCCAUCUUUAUCUGUAGCCAUACGGUUGUCUGCAUCCUCCGAGAAGAAACCCAAAGGGAGCCCAUACUUUGCUCUGAUUUUCAAUAUUAAAUCAUGGUAAAAUCCAGUAGCUUCAGAAAGAAAUGUUUUGAACUGCAAUCUUAUUUUUGAAAUUCUGUCAGGCCUUGUAGGCACGCCUUGAGCAUUGUUAGAACCAGCAGUCAAAUGUCCCCUAAGCUCCUCAAUUCGCUUGUAAUGCAACUGCCAGAGAGCAUAUUCAAUAUUGUGCUGUUCAGAAAAAGCAUAAUCCUCAAGGAUUAUUGCUUCAUAAUUUUCACGUAUUUGUUGCCAUGCAUUGGGAUCUGACGGAAUUCGAGCCUGAGCUGACCUUCUACGUCGAUUUUCCAAUUCAAUAUUCUGAAAAGAGAUAAAAACUAAAACUAUUUAAAAUUUUAAAAACACACAUAAGACAUAACCUACAAGAGAUCCAUCGCAUCCAGAUAUCUUAUAGACACAAAACUCAUCUCAUUCUGGUCUCCACACUAAUAAAAGUGUGUUUUACUGCUUAUAAUGGUUAAAUCAUUAUCCACGUUUUAUACCAACAAAAUUAUAUAUUAGAAGCAAAAAAAAACAGUUGUGAAAGAAGAGCAAAAGAAAGAAAACAAAACUACCUUUUCAUAAAGGCGUUGAGCACGCUCCCACGAUGAAGAAGCGGAAGCAGACAUUUUAGCCAUCUAUAUAUUUAUCUUCCAUCAAUUAUAUUCAGAUUCUUCAUACCACAUACAUCUGCAGGACAUUCUUAACCCAUCAGCAUGUUGAACAACAGAAGUGCAUAGAAAGUAAAAUAGUGAAAGAAAAGCAUAAAGCCAUCUAAUGGAAUUGUAUGCUUUGUAAAAAAAAAAAACAAUAGUCCCUCACUAUAAACAAAAGAUAUACUUAAACCUAAUGCUUUUAAAGAAGAAAAAAAAUCUUAAAACUAAUACUAUUAUCCAUCCUUGGCUAUUACAUACUGGCACAAAGAAUUCAAAAAGGACCACUUUCAAAGUGAACUCAACGAAUGCUUUUAGGAUCAAUCAAGCAAAAAAACUGGAAAUAUCUAAAAAUAAAUCAGAAUAUGAUGAAGUCAAAAAAUUGCAAAGAAAGAUCCCAAAUACAAUUUCAUAUCAGAUGAAAUCAAAUAUAAAAAUGGCCAAAUCAAUAGUGCAUGCAUUAAAAAUAACAUGAAGAUAAGGAGGCUAGCAAUCAACACAAGUAAAUAAUUUAGAAUUCUGUCACCUCAAAUCACAUUUAGUAACUUCGUGGGAAUUACCCAAUGAUCAGAAUACAAUUUCAAACUCAGAAUCAGACAUAUGAUAUAUGUUUUCCUUCAUCCAUUGCUAAGCGGGAAGAUGACAUGUUCUCUGCUGUCCAGCCUAAAAUAUUUUAAGCUUGACGGUGGGAGAAAACCCUCAAGAUGCAUAACUGCAUCAACCUAAUUAACCUAAAUAUGGCCACUCGGCCUGUACCAACAAUUCCUGUAUAAAUUUCCAAAAUCCAUCAAAUCAUUCCUCAAAGAGAAAUUCGCGGCUCAACAUGUAAUGAUCACUAUACUUGAAAAUUCAUUCAUAUUUAAGAAAAACCUAGUAAGAAUCUUGAAAUUAUGUUGCUAAGAGAUCCAAAUAAUAUACAAUAAAAAAAAAAAAAAAACCAAUCCAAUCAAAUGCACAAAAUAGACAGUUGAAUCGAAAAUAAGAUUCAAAACCCACCCAAAAUAAAAUUGGUCUAAACCCUAAGAGACCCAAAUAAUAUCCAAUUCACAUUCACCAGAACGAAAAAAAAUAACCAAUAGAUAGUCGUCUACACCAAAAAGAAAUUCAUAAUCCCCAAAGAAACCCAAUUAACAAUACGUAAAAUCACACCGUGGUUGACCUACAAAAUUCCAGCUUGACUUAAUUCCAAGACUCCAAAAGAAGAAAAAGAGGAAAACCCAGAAAAUAAUCAUCAAAUCCUAUCUAGAAAACAUCGACAGAACAAUUAAAAAAAAGGGUGGGUCAAACAAAACAAAGAGAGUAGAGAAAUGAAAUGAGAAAAAAAGAAGAAACCCAGAUCUAGAAACCCGGAAAGAAUUUAGAAUGAAUCAGCCGGAAAACCCAAAGAAAAGAAAAGAGACGGAAAUCAAGAAAAAGAGCAAUGAGAAGAAAUAGAAAAGUACCUGAGGAGAGCGAUCGGAUGGAGGAUCAAACUGGGAUUGAAGAAAGAGGAGGAGGAGGAGGAAGAAGAAGAAGAAGAAGAAGAAGAAGAGGGUUGGGAUUUACGAUUUAGGGUUGGGAAGAAGAGGAGAAAAAGGGGUGGGUUCGAAGAGGAUGAGAUUGGGUUUCGUUUGGUUUUGAUUUAGGAGAGAUUUUACCAAUUUCUUUCCCCCUUCUUCCUUUUUUUUUUUUUUUUUUUUCUCUCUCUCUCUCUCUCUGUUUUCGUUUCUUUUCUUUUUCAAUGUGUUUUCGUCCUUUUCUUUGUUUCCUUAUUCUAAUUCCACCAAACCAAACGACGCCGUUUGCUACCAAUCUUUUCGUUCUCUUUUGAGAAACAAAUAAACAAACAUAAUUUUAGUUCUUCUCUUCCUCUUCCUCUUCCCUUCCCCUACACCAUCGUGGUUUCAUCAACUCUCAAACAAACAAAAUUUAGUUUAUUAAAAAAAUAUGUAUAUAUAUCACGAGGACAGCACGUGCUUCCUUUUUGAGUUUAUUUGAAUGUUUAUAAACCAAGUGAGGGAGUGAGGCUUUAAAUCUUAUCCAAAGUUUAAAUAAAUGUAUGACGUUCUAUUAUAUUCUUUAUCUACAUUUUUUGUUUUUUUCUCUCUUACAUCUUCAAAUGAAUUCAAUAUAACCAAAAAAAAAAUAUUAUUCUUUUUUUGGGGUUUAUUUUCUAAAAUAUCAUUUGAAAUUUCUUAACUCUGAAUUUACAUCUCUUCACUAAUUCACUGUAUUUAUUCAAAAUCUAUUCUCAUACACAAAUUCAAAACACUUAUACAUUCCAAAUAUAUAUUUAUUAAAAUUAGUUUUAAGAACUAAUCUUAUUUUGUUUUCACUUUUUUUUAAAAAUGUUGUUUUUUUCUGUUAAAUUUAUUCUUGGUAUUCUUUCCUUUUCCUAAAAAGAAAAGUGUAAUUUCCUGAUUCUACACUAUUGAAAAUAAAUCAUUAAUAAAAAUUUAAUUUUUUGUUAAUUUUUCGAAAAUUUAUAGUCACAAAACACAAUAUUGCAACAAUAUAAGUUUUUUUUCUAGUGAGAAAAAUAUCUUCUUCUUCUUCUUUUGUGUGUAGAGGAUUAUAUAUAUAUGUAACCAACAAAGUUCUAAAUAAUUUCCUUUUUAAAAAAAUAUAAUUCUAAAUUGUCUCUUAAAUAAUAAUAUAUUAGUGUUAUUUGAAUUAUUUAUAGAUAAUUAUAGAAAGUAACUUUAGAAAAAUCAAUUCAUUAAAUAUAUAUAUAUACUUGUAUGUUGAAAAAUCAAUUCAAAAUUGUCCUAUUCAGCAAACAUUUCUUUGUGUUUUAUAAAUGGCAUGGUGGCUUAUUGGAUAUGGAUGGUAUUCAAAAUAUGGUGUGAAUAAAAAAGGAUCCAAGUGGUUUGAAGCUUUUGAGUUUUAAUUUCUUUGGGGAAAAAAAAAGUCAAUUUGUUUCAAAAUCAAUGGGGUUUUCAAAUAUAUCAUAAAGAAAAUGAAAUUAUUGAAUUCUCUAUUAUUCAUUUCUCAUUGAUCUUUGUUGAAUUUUUUGAUUGAGUAUUGUAUUUACAAAUUUUAGAUUUUCUUCAACACAUUUUAUGCUCGACUCUCAAAGAAUAAUUUGCAAAUAACUUUCUAUUGCAAUUUAUUUUGUUUUAUUUAACAAACUUACGAAUCUUUUUUGUUUGUUUAUCAAUUUGUUUUCAAACUUAAUAAUUAUUGGAAUUUUCAAUUUUAUUAAUUUGUCUUUAAGUUUGUUGAGUUUUGUAGAUUUUGAAUUUUCUCUAUCUGUCAUCAAAUCUUUUUUGCAAAAUUAACACAUUUUAGAUGAUUUUUCUUAUGUGUGGUCAAAUUUGUAUUACAAAUUUAGCAAUCUUAGAUUUCAAUAUUUGUGCGCCAAAUUUGUUGUAUAACUUACCAACCUCUUAAAUUUGGAGGAAUCGUUAUGAGUAGUAAAAUAGUGAAAAACUAUUUGAAAGAAAAAUAGAAUAGGCUAAUAGAGUUCAAUGAAUUUUAAUAUAUUUUUUUGCAAAUAGUUUCACUAUUUUGCUAUUUUUUCUGGUGUUUUCUUAAAUUUUUUCUUUUAUUCAUAAAUUUUCUUUACUUGUGAUCAACUUUUUAAAUUUCAAUCUUAAUUUAUCUGUAGGUUGAUGACUUAAGUGCUUAAAGUACGUUUUAUAUACUUAUAUAUACAUCAAAUGAAGCAAUGUAUUGGACUGUUUAUUUCAAACACUUAUUUUUAUUGAUAUUUGUGACACAUUUGCUUAUGUAAUCUCUUGUUGAUUUAGAAGGUCAAAAGGGAAUAUAUUUCUUUUCCUUGUUUUCUUUUUUCUUUUUUCUUGAAAGAAAAAAGGAACUUCUCUUUGAUUUAUGUAAAGCCUUAUAUGUUUGAACAUUAUAAAUUCAAACUAAAAUAUUAAAUAGUAGGAAACUAAUGAGAACUUUCUAGGCACAUAUAGAUUUAAUUUCUAAAAAAUAUUAUAUAUAUAUAUAUAUAUAUAUAUAUAUAUAUAUAUAUAUAUAUAUAUAUAUAUAUAUAUAUAUAAGUGAACUAAUUUUUUUAAAAAAAUUCUGAUGAACAUGUUUUUCUCAAAAAAGAAGAAAAAUGAAAAAACCCUUCUAAACUUCUGAUGAAUAUGAUUUUUUUAACCCUUUUCACAAUUAUAAUUUUACUUUAAACUGCCUAAAAUUGCUUUUCAAACAAAGUCUUUUGAAAGGAACUUUUGUAAUUUUUGAACCAUCACUGUUUUAAUACAACAAUUACAAGUCGUGAGAUCAAACUUCCUACCUUAACAAUAACUAACCACUAACCAUUGAUAUAGUUACUAGCAGUUCAAUUCGAUAUAAGCACAGUUGAAUUAGUCAAAACAUAAUUAACCUCCAAAGGUGUUCAAAUCUUCAAUGAGUUUUGAAUUAAAUUUCUAAAAAUAAAUAAAUAAAUAAAUAAUCGCAGUAUGUCUUAAGUUAAGGCUGUUGACAUUUCAAGGCAUAUUUUAAAAGCUUCCGUCUGUUUUGAAUUUAACAAUUGCACUCCAGAGUCAAACCAUCUAGGCAACCACCAUUGAUAGGAUAAUUGAAUUGAUGUCUUAUUCAUUAAGUUGUGCUCGGUUUGAGUUCACUCAGAAUUGGAAAACUGGAAUAUACAAACUGUAAAGCUUCUUACAGAAUAAUCAGAAAAGUCUCAUAUAUGGAAAAUGGAAGAUUUUCCUUGACAUUCAAAAAGGAAUAAAAAUUCCAAUAUUUGGAACUUAAUAUAUAUUAUAUAUGUUCAAUGACAAAGCCUUAAAACUACUAUUGUUACAACACGACCCACCUUCGCUUAGUCUAAUCCUCAAUAAAAAUCAAAGCAAAACAAGUGAAGUAGAAGAUACAAUAAUAACAAAACCAACCAAAGUCCUCAUUGGAGAAGGAAAAAGAAGAAAGAAAGAGGCGAAAAGAAAAAUAAGGAAGAAAUGAAAUUAAAGAUGGCAUCCCCAUGAAAGACCAAACUUAAAUAUUAGAAAAGCACACACAAUGGACCUGCUUACAAUAUAGGUGUAGGAGGAGGAUAUACAACAAAUGGAUGAUUGGAACUAAUUAUGGAUAUAGAGAGACUUGCAUGUGCCCAGCUUUGUUUGUUAUUUCCAUGGCGGAGAUGGCGGUUGUUUAUAGAUGAAGUCUUGUGAGGAUGAUGCACCAUAAUUUAAAUCGAGAUUAUGGAGCUGCUCCAUCAACUGAGAACGUCUCUCCUUGAAGAAAUCCAGCCGUGUCGUUAAUUCUACUAAUGUUGAGGAAGGCACUGUUGAAUGUCUUGUGUAAUCCAAAACCUGGAAACAAAGAUUAAAUUUCAAUGUAGAAAAUUUUCCAGAUCUAAGACAUCUAGAUUCAGCUUUUAAGCAACGGUCGUGUUGGGACGAGAGGACGAGAGGACGAGACAACAGAUGUAUUUACCUCUCCUGCUUUUGAAGUAGAAGGCAAAGACGCAGAAUCGACAGCAAGUUCAUCCACAGACAUGCUAGUUGAAACCUCGGUGCUUUUUGAGUCACUUGGGCUUAAUGAAUCCACAAAUAGCUUCCGUGGAGUUGGUUUACUACUAUUGGCAGAACCUAAUACUUGUCCUUUCAUAUUUCUCCAAUCACUUCCCAUCAAACCUUCCUGUGUACCAAAAAUAGAAACAGAUUUCAGUUUAAUUUAUAAGACGAAGAAUGCUAAGGUCAAAUAAAUUGGGAAAUUAAUUGUUAAGACCUUGAUCCGUAACCAUUUGAUUUGUGGUUUUUAGUAUUUAAAAUCAAGACUAUAUGCAUCCCUUCCAUCCUCGUUAUUUACUCUUCACCAAUGAUUUAAAAACAAAGCCCAAGUUUUGAAAACAAGAAAGGUACUUUCAAAAACCUGUUUUUGUGUUUGGAAUUUUGUUAAUAACUCAAUUCUUCCACUUAAAGAAAUAUGUAAACCACAAUAUUUAUUGAGAGAAAAUAGGCCUAAUUUUAAAAAAUAAAAAACCAAAAACCAAAAAUUAAAUUGAUACCAAACAAGGAGUAAGAUCCAAAUGAAUUAAGGCAACAUCAUACUCCAAAGUGGAAGUCAGAAGUAGAAAUACAUCGAAGCUAUUAUCUGCCUAGUUGAUAAAGCUAAACAACCAGCUACCUGAUAGAACUAGGGAAUGGAGAUGAAUUUUAUUCAAUGAAAAUAUCAGUUCAUUACAAGUACACGGGAUUGAUAGAUUAGCAAUCCCUAAACAGAAAGUAAUUGGUAAAGAACAAAGAAAGAAUCACCCUCCCUCACUGCCCUCCUAUCUUUCAAGGAUGUAGACAAAUGAUUAACAAAACUCUCAUAUCCACUCACGGACCUCCCUUUCACUAUUUAAACCUCUCUUCCCUCCAAUUAACUGUGGGUCCCAGCUCUAGCAACCACACUCCCCAUAACGCGUGCGCUCCCCUUAUUUCCUCUUCUACUAUACUGCCAAGUAAUUGGUGGCCUAACGCUACCUUAGUCUACCGACGAGAUGAAAAGAGUAAAUUCGAAAUCUAAAUGCUUUUGUGGUGGGCCGUGGAUACUUAUAUUACCUUGCUGAGUUUCCUUUUGGUCAAAAUGCCCUUUGGUUUUCUUACUUUGGGUUGCAUUCUAUUGCAGUCCAUGUACUUUCAAUUGUCCAAAACUUAGUCUCCAUUUCCAAUAAAUUUAAAUUUUUUCCUCGUACUUCAAUAAAUAUUAUAUUUAGUUCUCAAAUCAAGUAAAGCCCCACUGCAAUCUUUUCUUUCUAAAGUAUUAUCCAAUUGUGUCUUUUUUUUUCUCUUUUCCUUUUUUUUUAAAUCAUUGUUAAUAGUCAUUAAAAGACUAAAAUAAUAUAGAUAACAAAUACACUCGGUACGUGGCUAUGUCAUUGACAUCUAUGGUUCAAAACAAAGGAUGUUCUUUGCGAUUGUUUGUUUUGAUCGUUUUCUCUUGUAUUGGCCGAGAUCAGUUUUGGGCAGUUUGUUUGGAUGUUUUUGUCUUUUAUUAUUUUGCUCUUAGUAUAAUUCUCUUGUACUUUGAGCAUUAGUCUCUUUUUCCAUUAUUAAUAAAGAGGCUUGUCUCCGUAUAAAAAAAAAAGACUAGACAACCAAGUCCAUAAAUGGUUAGGCUUUUUAUCCACUCAUCAAAACAGCAACCCAGCGCAUAAGAGCUAAAUUGUUGAGCAACUAAUUAUGCAGUAGAGCAAGUGUAAACAUCCAAAAAAAAUUAUCCCUUAAAAGGUAAAAUAUAAAUGAAAAUAAAAGAUAAACCGAGUGCAACAACAUGCAGGCAUUGUCUAAGAAACAAUAUAAGAACUUUAUAUAAGAUAAUAGCUUAAUCAUACAAAGAAACGCAAAUGAUGAUAUUCAUUGGCUAACCAAAAAGAAAAAGGGUUUAUUUAACAAUGAAAGACAAUGGACAUGGAAGUAACAUGACAAAAAGAUACCUCAUUCCUUUGUUUCCUUUCAUGAUUAACAAAAGCAAGUGUCGAGUCAAAAUCUUGCUGAAGAAAUCUCCUGCGGGAAGUAAGACUAUUUGAGAGAAACGUAGAAAGCACUUAACUUAGUGACGUUUUAACUUAUUCAACGCUACAAAUUUAUCAAAGGAUUUAAUGUCAAUCAUAGAUAUAUGGUAAGACAAUGGGCUUUCAUUGACAAAGAAACGAAAAAAUGUACAAGGACAUACAAAAAGAUAAAUCCAAAAAGUAUCCUCAACUACUUACGAAAAAGAAUUCCAAACCAAAACAAUAAUGCUAAACCGAUAAUUUCUUGUUCGAAUACAUUAAAUGUCUAACAGAUACACACCCAUAAAGCAACAUUAAAUCUUACCACCUUCCAAGCCUCCUCUAAAGACCUCACCACUUCUCUAAAACCUCCCACAAGAUUCUCCCUUAUCAAGGGAGAGUUCAUCAAGAUCCUCUCAACAAUGAACACCCCUAUUUUGCACGACUCUGAAAAACUGAAGCAGCAACUCCAGAGGGAAUUAACUAACUGAAAUCCUCCUCUACCAUUCCACACGAGAUGAUUGAGAUCCUCCUCUACCAUCUACAAAGGAUACACCACGGUGGAUGCAAAACCAAAGUAGAAUACUGCUAGAUUUGAUUCUCAAUGUUUACUCUCCUAUGACUAAUCUCACAAGACAACUCACCUAACCCUAUAAUAUUGGACAUUAAAGAAACUCGUAGGAUAUUAAAUCCUAGGUAGGUGGCCUGGAUUGAACCCAUGAUCUUUUACUCUUUUAUCAAGAUCAUGCCCCCUAUUUACUACUAAGCCAACCCAUAAAGGUUAUGUUUACUCUCCCUUGUAACUUGUUAGAAAUAAAACGAUCUUAGGGAUUUUAACCUUCCACAAAUGGAACACUAAGUCAGCCAAAUGGGAGAAAGGGAACAAAAUAUGAAAAAAGGUGAUUGGAACCGACGACCUUUGAUGAAUUAGGAUCCCAAGCUCAUAAAUUCCUUCUCAGAGAUAAACCCUCAAAUAAAAAGUAAUAGAAAGAAAACCCACCAUCUCUAUAGACUCUCAAGUAGUGAGAAGACAACAAAAAGACCCAAAUAGAGUGAGAGGGGACGACUAAGAAAGAGGCGAAAAAGAGACAACCAACUGUGAUAGACAAUUGGUGGGUGAGAUAACUUUGACCUCCUAAACUUCAUGAAUAGAAAACAAACUUUCAUUAGUUCUCACUUGUGGAGAAACCAUUGAACAGUUUCUUCCACCUGCCCUUUUGUGAGAAGUGAGCUUUUUCGUGGAAAGUUGGAAUGUGGUAUUUUGUGGGGGUUUUUGGAACGAGAGAAACAAUUUAAUCCUUAAAGGAUAGGAGAGAUCUCCAAAUGAUGUUUUGUUCCUUGUUAGAUUUCAUGUUUCUUUUUGGACUUUAGUUAUGAAGUUAUUUUAUAAAUAAUCAUUAGGUCUUAUUUCUCGUGAUUGGAGCCCAUUCUUGUAUACUUUUCUUUUGUACUCCCUUAAUUUUUUUCUCAAUUUAUUUUAUGAUGAAAUAUUUUUUUAUAAAAAUUACAAUAAUAAUAAUAACACUCUGGUAACAAAGUUAUAUUAUAAAUACUCACUAGGUCUUAUUUCUCAUGAUUGAAGCCCCUUUUUGUAGGCUUUUCUUUGUACUCCUUACAUUUUUCUCAAUCUUUCUCAAUUCAUUUUACGAUGAAAUACUUUUUAAGAACAUAUAAUAAUAACAAUAAUAAUAUCAGGAACUCACAAUUGGGAGCCAUGAUUCUGAACAUGCUGAUAUCGGUCACAUGCAUCAGAUAAAGAACCAUAGUUGUGUUGGCGUUGCUGAUUCAACUGGUGGUGGAGCUCAGCAACUUUCUGCUUUAACCGAGCCACAUCUGCUUCAGCAAGAGCAAUCUCCUCAAGCUCAGCCCUUGUCUUCACAUCAGUAUAAUCAUGCCUCAUGAGAAUGAAUAUGACCAAUGGAGGUGAAAAAAAAAAUUAAAUGCCAAACAUGCAGACAAACCUUCGAAUCCAUGCCCCGUGAAUUAUUAAAUUGUCCAGAAGACAUGCUUAGGCCAACUUCCAGAGCAGCUCUAAGAUCUCUUUCUGCUUGCAAUUGCUCUUGUAAUCUUGAAACCUACAAGGUCAUUCAAACCCAAGAAAUGUAAUUUAAAAAACAAAUAUGCAUUUGUUAGAUACCUAGAUUAGUAUAGGGUUAGGGGUGCGGUGCAAGGGUAAUUGAAUAAGAUAGGAAGUUACUAGUAGUUAUUGUCUAAAGGUGGGUACUAGUAGCUAUUGUGUAAGUAUGGUUACUAGGGUGGUUACAACUUGUUAUAAAUAGAGGGAGGGUAAGUGAGAGGAGGGAGUAUCAGUUAUUUUCGUGUGUAGGCUGUGAAUCCUUGAGAGGAGUACAGAGUGGAUUGUUCUAGCUUUCUUACUGUAUUUUGUGUGUGUAAUUUCCAGAUUGAUAAACUAUCAAUCUGUAACUUCUUUUACCAAAUUGAAUAAAGAACAACUAUAUUAGUGUUCUAUCAGCAUUUUUGUCUACGUUUCCUUGUUAUAUAAAAAAAAAGAAAAUGGUACUAUAUCCACAUAAAUAACUUCCAAGCCCACUCCCAUCACCAAACCAAAUCUCACAUACUAAUAGUCGCAAACAUUUUCUAAAAGUAAUUUGAAAGAACAGUUUUAUAGUAUUAAAUAUAGCUCCUCUCCUAAACUAUACCAAGGAUUUAUUAGAAAAAUAAAGUUCAAGUAACAAGCAUUCGCCACCCUGAAACGUACAUCUUGUUCAAGUGCCAACCGUCGUUCAUGCAAAGCUUGUUUCCUUCUUUCCAAGCUGGCUUGUAAAAUUGCAUUGCCUCUAGCCUACACAAUAUGGAUAUUCAGUAAAUACUCUAAUCAACCACUGGAUCUUUGGAUAACAAAGUUAGAGAGUUUGACUACCUCCUUCGCAAUCCUCUGUUGCAGGUCAUUUUUUGUCAUCUCAAGCCUCUGAAUAGCAAGCCUACAAAAAUAGUUGAAAUUUAUCUUCAGGGAAUAGUUUUAGUUCAUGGUGAAGUAACAUUCAGAAGGUGAGAAGAAAAACCCGUGGAACAAACCAAGAAGUAAAAAUAUUCUAGAAAAAAAUACAAAAAAGAUGCAAUUUGUAGAAAACAAGCCACUUUGGUUAUCUACAGAGUUAGCUUUGCAUUCUUGCAAAAAGUCAAUUAAUGAAACUUUGUGCAGUUAUCGUGAUGAAUGUAGAGGAGAUAUUGUAACCUCAACUGGACCUUCAAUUGCCCAAUUGUAUCUUGGUGUAGACCAAGAGAGAUAUUAACCAAUUCAAAAUUACUCUAACCCAACAGACCAGAAUCCCAACUAAUCAACAUAUAAAUAACGACCAAUCCACUUGAAAAACCUUCAAACAGCGAAACAAAUAAAACAACCAAAUAAAAUAAGAGAUUUGUCAGAAAAUACAAUAAAGUUGUUAAAUAACUAAUAGACCAAAAGGCUUAAGCUGAUGGAUAAAGGUAAAUUUAACAUUCUCCCUCACUUGUGGACUUGAAAUAUGUGAAAGAUCCAACGAGUGGAAAUCAUAAUUGGUAAGGAAAUAGCAUUCUAGAGGUGGUAACACAGGACCUCCUAGACCACGUCCUAGACCACUUGCUUUGAUACCAUAAAGACACGUUUGUUUCUUCUUAUAUUUUAUGCAAAGAUACAACCCUCAGUUUUAAAAGGGGAAAAUCAUAGAAGGAAAAAUGAAUAACAAUAAUUGUUCUUCCAGAUCAUUAGUAGCCAUCUUCUACAAAUCAUGUUUUGCAGCCAUCAUUGAAAGACUCUUUGUCUACACCAUUGUACCGCCGUUGUUUAUUCCAUGUUUGUUUAUAGUUUUUUGGCUUUACAGCACAUGCUGACCAUACUCUAGAAAGACUUUAUUUUGUAUCUUAGGACUAUUUUUGUUUGGAUAUGAUGAUAGCGCUAAGAGGAAGUCAACCUAGUUGAGAUGUCCGGAUGUGUCUAUUGAUCCUAUGGUCUCGUUAUUGCUUAGCUCUUUGUGUAAACCUUUUUAUACUUUGAGCUUAUUAUUUAUCAAUAAAGAGGUUGGUUUCCUUUUCAAGAAAAUAACAAUAAUCAUUCUUUCUCAUCUUGUCAUUUAAUAAUUUUCUGUUUCAUUUUAGCCAAAAGUCCAAAAGGUGAAAAUUACAAAACAAGUCAUACACACCUUUUAACAUGCCAAACCUCAUUCUUCCAUAACAAUAACAUAAUUUAUCCAUCUUCAGUAUGAAGAAAACGUAAAACGUGUGAUGAAUUUAAACAGCCAAUUAACUUCAUCAUAGAACUUAUUUGACGAGCUAAUAUGCAAAAAAAAAUUCAGAUUGAGCUCAUACAGAUCGCAAGACACAAACAGAUUUCAUAUAUGAAGGAAAAAGCCAUUGAAAUCUUACUCUUCUUCUCCAGAAGAAUCUACCGACUCAAUAGAUGGCGUCUUUCUGGCCUGCAUCAAAUAAAAUCAAGAAGAUCAAGUUUUAAUUUAACAAGCAAAGAAAUUUUAACAUUCAGUUCAAACUAUAGCACAACAGUGCCUGUAAUAAUAAUAACACUGGUAAGUAUUAAGGAUCCUUUUUGAUGAGAUUGCCUGCAUCAAUGAUUAAAUAGCACAACAAAUAAUCUUUGUCCUAGCGGUAUUAUUUGCUUCCUUUUUUCCGUUCUUUCUUUUAUAUGAAAAAUCAAGCUUUUAUCAAGAACAAUAAAAGAAUAACAUCUGUUUAUUUGUUUUUCUAACUAUGUGGUUCUAGGUGGGAAGCAGCACCUCAACAAAACCUAAUCAUAUAAGGAUACCGCACAUGUCUCCACAUUAUAUCUCAAAAAACUCGAAGGGAGAUUCUAACCUAAGACCUCAGCAUUUGUAUGUCAAAUCCUUAAAAUCCUCAACCUCCUCAGUAGGUGAGGAAUCUCUCUAUUGUCACAUUCCAUGUGGCAGUUGGCUACUGAUGCGUUCAGGACUCCUUGAGCACAGAAUCUAAUCGUCCUUCCCAAAAGAAGUGAGCAAGGACAUCCAGAAGCAUCAUUUGAACCAAAAAGUUCGUCUUUUUUUCCUUGGACAAUGAUUCAUGAUGGUUCAAAUGCAUGGAUCGUGUAGUAUUGUUGUGGCAAGUGCUUAAAGGGCUCAUUGAGGACUCUCUUCCAGGCCGUUUGUACUUCAUCAAACGGGUAAGAUAUUAGCACCACCUUUUCAUGAGCUUCCCUUGAUGUCAAGCCUAUGGAGAGCCUUUGCUACUUUUACACCUCUUGGCUUUCUAUCGUAGCUUCUUGGAAUCUGGCUUAAAAGAGAUUUGUAAUUCCUUCACUAUGUCUUCUUCCAACUAGAGAGUAGAGAGAUUCUGUUACACACAUUGAAGUUAGGAAGCCUUCCCUACCGUCUGUAUAUUUUCAUCCUUUCAAUGAACAUAGAUCUCCUUCACUAUGUUUUCUUCCAACUAGAAAAAGAGAGAGCUCUGUGAGGGAUUCCUGAAGGAUAGUCUUAGAGACAUAACCGUUUUGUGCAAAUUUCAAAAGCCUGAGGUUGAACCUAUAAAAAUGAAAGAUGGAAGAUACACAUCUUAUUGGUUUGACAACUGGACAGGGGAUGAUGCCCCCUCAGCAAGAGUUUUUCCAAGCUUCUCACCACUGCAGAGUUCAAAAAAGCUUCUAAAACAGCUUUUGUGUCUCGACUACACAAUUGGAGAAGGGUAGAUACAGAAGUACAGAAACCCAUAGGGACAAUAAAACCUACCAAACUACGAGGCUAUUUUAAAGAGGAUACGGAAAGAGUUUGAUUGUUGUUAUAAGUAUAAGCAGAUGGAAAGUGGUAGUUCUCUAAUGACAGACAUUCUAAAAUGUUAGGCCUUCUACUAAUUAUAGUUUUUGUGAUCUAAAGGUUAACUGCAGAAAUUUUUUGUAGCUACUUUGACAGACUUUCCUCUUUUGCAAUUUAUAUAUAUAUACAAAUAUUAUACAUACAUACAUACACACACACACACACACAUAUACUAGAUUCACUUCCAGUUCUAGUUUAAUAUUCUUCAACUGAAAAAAAGAAAACUUACACUGCUCCUUCCCCAGAAAGUUGAUCUCUUAGCAUUAAUAUUAGAGCUUGAAACUUUACCAACUGGCUUCCCAGAACUUGACUCAUUUCCAGGAUCCAUUGAAUUUAAAAUUUCUCCCAUUGAUCGGUAAGAUUCGCCAGCAAGUGAGAUAUUCGGAGUUUCCACCUCAGUCAAAGAAUUUGCAUUUCCUUUCUUUUGUUUGGUUAGGUCCCCAAUCGGUUGAACAUUGGUCUCAGAGUUCUUAUGAUGAUCAAGACACGAAUUUGAACUCUGAGCUAAAUCAUGAUUCUCUCUUGGGGAUCCAACAUCCGAAUCAUCUCCUCCAAAAGCCUGUUCAUGCACAGAAAUUAGAGCAUGUUAAUUAGCAUUUCAUUCGUCAACAAGCACAGUUAUUCAAGCCUCAAGGAAGAGAAACAAAUAGUCCUGAAAAGAACAGCACAAAGUUCCAUCAAUUUUAUAUCUUGUGUGAACUCAAAAUUAAUAGAUGAUAAGUACGGUAACUAAUACGGGCUUUCACUUUUGUUCCAUUUUUAUCCGACGUACAGGUCUUUCACUAGAGAGGGUAAUAGGCAUCUGAGGAUAGAACUGAAGCAGUGAAUUAACUUGUGGAAACGCAAAGCUAUCAAGAUCUUACAUUAUUGAAGGCUAUAAAGCUGGCUAAUAAAUCAUCGACAAAAAGAGCUCAGUAAGAAUCCCUAAACUUCAAAAAAACCAUUCUCUAGUUACAAUUAGAGAAAUUCAACUUCCUUCUUCCUAUCAUUAAGUGUACAAAAUGAAGCUUCACCAAUAUGAUUGCUUUUGUUUUUUAUAAGAGUUUAACCAAUAGGAUUGUUGAUUGUAGCAAGAGUUCCAUUCUCUAACAUUGUUCUUUAUAGGAAACAAAAAAGAGGUCAACUUUUUUUUCUUUUAACAAGGAACAGCAUCACAGUGAUAUAAUCAAAAGGAUUAAAUGUUCAAGAGAUACAAACUCUUCAAAAUCAGAUUUUAAAAACAUUUAGUAACAAAGAAGAAGAAAGAAAAUGAAAAAACAUAAUGAAAAAUUUUGAAGAUCAGAAAUCCAACCAAGAAAAAAGAAAGAAAUUAGGAUAGUUGAUUGCUAAAUAAAUGCUAUAAAUUUCAAGUAAAUGUUUUUUUUCCUCAAUUUAACAUAUGAUGCUUCCUACAAAUCUCUGCCUCCAGACCAAGGAGAUUUUGAAUUUUGCUUGGUUUUAUUUCCAAACCUUUAUAAGAUCAAUAAUAUGCCUCUGUUUCUGAAAAAUUAAAUAAAUAAAUAAAAAUUCAGUAAAAUUUAACCAACAAAAAUGCAGUGUUUCAAAAGUAAAUGAACGAGGACAAAGAUAGUGCAUGCUCCAUGCAUAUGCAUUACACACGCACACACUGAGAACCUUAUAGUCAUAAAGAUCACUUCCAGCAUAGCCACUACUUUCACUCAAUUUCCCACUAAGCACACGCUCGGGAUCAUCAUCUGUGUCUGGAUCAACCCCAUUUUCCACAUUGUGAUAGCCAUUUCCUUUCACAUCAAGAUUUUCAUCAUCAGUGGAGUCAUCACUUCCACUAUUUUCAAUCUGAGAAUCAGCUGAAAUUGAGCAUCUGUGUAGAUUCUCAUCCUGGAAAUAAAUCAAAAAAAUAAAAGGGAUGCAUAAUCAUAGAACAAAAAAGUUUGAAAUGCAAUUAAUAGAUUAUUAGACUGUUUUUCAAUAUUGUUAUCCAACUACUAACAUGUUUGUUUUCCCUCUACUAGAACAAAAAGAUUAUAUGUUGAAGAUUCUUUCGUUUAAUGAUGAACUCUAUAUGGAAGGAUAUACCAGCGUGGAAUACAGUCCAUCCCACAAGGAACUGAAACAAAAUGAGAGAAUGCAAAAAAGAGAAAAGAAAAAAAAAAAGUGGAGAGCAUCUUCCAACUUGGCUGAAAUCAUUUCAUACAAAGAGGAUAAAGCUCAAAACUAAUACGCAGUCCUCUAUCGUUAAGAAAAUGCUUAGGAGGCAAAUAUCUUACAUCAAAAAUAUUCUCAAACUCCUCCAAAAGUGUUGUAACAAUUGCUUGGGCAUUAUUCGCCGCAUUGGCAGCAGCUAGCAACUGGGCAGAGUUAUCACCACUUACAUCAAACUCAUCUUCCAACUCACAUUCACCAGCUAAUAAAGGCCGUAACAGCAAAGGUGCCAUGCAAGCAGCAACAGCAGAUGGAGUCAUCCGAUUCUCGUGAGCAUGAGAAGAGAUGGUAUGCAUCAUCUUUAAAACUCUGGCAAGAGAAUGAAAACAUCAAAUUGACAUAUUGGGAAAUGCAGCAAACAUAGGAAGUAGCAAAAUUUGCAGCACUAUUUAAAGAUAGAUGAUUCAAGUGAGCCUAACAAAGUACCAAGAACACAGAAAGCUUACAGCAAAAGAAAUAAAUAACUAAAUUUAAAUGGAAAAACAAGUUUUGAUUGAGAAAAAAUUAAAGAAAAAAAAUACCUAAUUAGUAAUUAGGACAUGUAUAUAUACUAAGCCGAAAUUAGAGAAACAAGAUGAUUCCAAGCAAGAAACAAACCAUAAGCGAAAGAUCAUUCUUACAGAGGCAAGUGCAUUGGAGCUAUCAUAAAAUGCAAGAAUGUUAUAAAUUAUAAUUCUAGAAUGCAUAGCAUAAGAUCAACCGUCUACAAACUGUUAUUAACUGUGAUCUUUAACUUCGCAGGAUGAAGAAAAACAAAAUCAAAACCAAGAGAAAAUAUAAAAUAAAUAAUCAAAAUUACAAAUGUUGAUAAGGAUGAUGUGGGACACGAAAAAAAUGCAGAGAACAGGGAAUAGGGAUCAAUGAAGACAUUUUGAGUUGAGACCUGAGAGAGAUCAGUUGCUAAAUAAGACGUGUACUAGAGCAUUUAAAUGUUUAGACAUUAUAAUAUUAACUUAAAAUUCACACCAACCUAAAACAUACAUUCAUUUCAGGUUUUACAAACUGAAUACAUAAACGUCUUUUAAGGCAACUGUUCUAUUCUAUUCUUAAAUUACCAGUUUCCGUUACUACAUACCAAAUGCCCAUUAGACACUUGCCAUAAAUUAAGAUUUCAAUGACUAAAGAGAAUGAGAUGAUCGGCCAAUUGGUAGACCAAGCCAUGAAAGCCUUUCCUUCAUCAGUACUAUUUGCAAUACGAUUUUUUUUUAUAAACACUUUUUGCAAUAUGAAUAUGUCACAAUAAAAGAUUCAAAAAAUUAAUUAGAAAGAAGUGCAAUUACAGAUUAACAUCUAACCUUUGUAAUAAACGCCGGUUUGGUUCAGGAAAAGUCUCCAAUAUAGAUGAUCGCAUGGCAUUAAUCCGUGCCUCUUUUCGAUCAAUUUCUUAAACAAUAAGAACAAUAGUUCAAAUGAUCAAUCCCAAUACAUUUACAUUUUAUGGACAAAAUUAAAAAUAAAUAAAUAAGCCAAAAAGUGAUCAUCCCUGAUUUAAGAUGAUUUGUUAUAUCAUCCUCUACUUUAAAUGACGAAUUCUCUCGCAUUCUAUCCACAACUUAUAAUUAGCUCCACCAGAUUUCUCUUUCACACACAUAAAGUUUCAAAGAAUUAUAAUGGGGUUAGCAAACUUACUAUAAGCUUCAAGCAAUGCAGUGCAGCACGAAGCUGGGACUGGUGAUGAUGGAAGCUCUCUUAGAAUGUGCUACAUUUUCAAAUCACUCAUUAAGGGGUUGAAAUUGUACAUAUAUAUUAAAUAUCAAAAUAUCGUUGAAAUAGUAAAGGAAAGUACCUUGAUACAAUCACCAAUUACAUGAGCAUCCUCAUCAGAACCAAACUCUGUCUUGCCUGGAAGAGACAAAGCAAAUUAGGGCAUGUGUUCCAAUUUGACAUGCAUCUAGUUGAUAGCAAAUGGAUCAUCUGCAUAGUUGUUGGUCUACUUAUUCUCUCCCUCAUUAAUUAGAAACAAUUAGAUAAUACCUUGUUCAUAUUCUUGUACUCUACGGUCUACCUCUUCAACAUCUGCAGAUUGCCGCAAAAUCCCUUCUACCUUAGUGCCUGAAAAGAAGUUCAAAGUAAUAAAAUUGAUUUGACAAUAUGUCAACAUACCACGUAUUAAAUCACCAAUCAACCAAAAAACUUAGAUGGAAGAAUUACAGUAAAUUUAAUAAUAUUACCACUUUAACGCUCCCUCUCGCUUGUGGGCAUGAAAAUUUGUAGAAGAACCAACAAAAGGAAAUGACAUAAUAGAAUUCGAACACAAUACCUCCUACUCUUGUACCAUGUUAAAUUACCAAUCAACCCAAAAGUUUAAGUUGAUGGGUUAUGGUAAAUUUAGUUAUAUCAAUACUUUUAACCCCAAGUUUGCAUGUCUGCAUCAUAAUCAGCCAAGAAUAUCUUAUUCUAUAACUUAUUGCAACUCCAAUUCUCCAUGCCUUGUUUUGUAUCUCAUUUUAUAAUUUAUUGUUUGGUUUGCCUGAAAAGUGUUAAAUAAAUCAAAAGUGAUGUGUGUUUAUAAUACACAGUCUUAACUCAUCAAAUUCAUCUGGUUAUUUGAAAAUGAGUCUUUGACUGGUUUCCUUAUGAAGUUAACAUCGCUGACUUCCUUCUUUGUAGCCCCUCGUCCUCUUUGGUGCUGGCCCACAUUGAUGUAUUUUGUGCAGUAGGCCUCUUGAUAUUGUCUCGAUCAUAUUUUUGUUGUUAGUCUAUAGCUAUGAGAAUAUUGGUGCAGCAUUUGAAGUUCUUUGCAACUAAUCCAUUCUCAUGCCUCUUCGUAGGGAAUUGACACCUCUAACUUUUUUCAUGGGGAGAUAUUGACCGAACAUUCAUCAAAUCUCUAUGGAGUUCCAGAGGUAUUGAAUGGACUUCCUUGGAUGCUAUUAGAUCCUCAGGUGAUCUUAUUAUCAUCUGGAAGGUAGCAUCCUUCCCGGUCUCAUCUAUAACCAAAGAUGCUAACAGUCCUUUUCUAUAGCUGAUGGAUUCAAUUUUUGGUUAAUAGGUGUUUACAAACCAUCUACUGAUUUUGAAAAGAAUUUUUUCAUCCAAGAACUCCAUGAUCUCUUCAGCCUGGUGGAUGAAAACUGGUUUAUUGGUGGAGAUUUCAACUUCCUCAGAUGGCCUCAGAAAAAUUCCAACUCUUGUAGACCUACUAUAUAGAUGUCUGCCUUCAAUUCUUUCAUAGAACAGAGGGAUCUUACUGAUUUGCCCCUUCCAAAUGACAGUUAUAUUUAAACCUGGACAGACUUUAGAAAUCUACCUACUCAUACCAAGAUUGAUAGAUUCCUGUGCACAGAAACUGUGCCGAACAAAUUUAGUGAUGUGAUGCUUUUGUUAAAAGGCUUGAGCGACCCACAUCAGAUCACUUCCCCCUUCUCCUUACACUUGGUAAACAACAAUGGGGCCCAUCACUUUUUAGGUUUGAAAACAUGUGGAUUGGUUGUAAUAGUUAUCUUCCUUUUGUUGAAGAUUGGUGGUCUUACUAGCCACACGUUCAUUAAAAAGCUUGAAGGGAUGAAAUUUGCUAUCAAGGAAUUGAAUCAACAGAUCUUUCGGAAUAUUACAUCUCAACGAGACUCAAUGAUGAAGAAACUGUCCCUUAUUGUUUCAAACUUUGAGAAGGAUCCUUCACUAAGACACGCAUUGAUAGAAGAAAUUCUAUCAAAGAGCAGCUUCUUUCCAUCAGUGCUAAUGAGAAAAUGUGAUAGACAGAAAUGUAAAUCCAUUUGAUUUCUGAAAGGUGAUAAUAGCACAUUCUUCUUCGACAAAUUUGCUGCUGCCAAAAGAAAAGGAAAAGCUGCAUAACAGAAAUCCUAGGCAUUAGUUUACUCCAAGAUAUGGACAUUGAAGCUGAAUUUAUUUCUUUCUACAAAAACAGAUUCUUGCCUCAUCCGAGUGCAUGAGUCCACACCAAACAGAAUUGCCUCCUUGAAGCUCCUUUCGCCGAGGCUGAGAUUUUGCUCUCAGAUAGCGUCAAAUAUUUCCUUUUAUCAAUAAUAUUGUCUCUUAUCCAAGAAAAAAAAUCUUCAUGGGUUCUUUUGAUGCUCAGCCCACAUUGGUGUGCUGAGCCAAUAAUUCACAAAGGAUUCCAUCAGAUUUUCCCAGUUCUUUUACUGUAAACAUUCAGAUAUUCUCGGAUCUUCUUUUGCUAUAAACAUUUGGUUGAACUAUCGGAGUUACUUUGGAAUGAUUUGGGAUUUUCCUUUUUGAUGGAUCCUUUAGAAUCAUUUAGGUUCUGUGUAAGGACCCUGAUGGAAGAGGUUCCACACGAACCUUUACGUAAGAUUGGGAAACUUCUGUGACAGGCAAAUUUCUUUACCAUUUUUUGGAGUAUCUAGCUCAACAAAAUAGGAGGUUUUCUAUGGUGUGAACAUGGGAAGUGGUUUAGAGUACUUAUUUACUAUAGUGUUUUCCAUAAGGUCAAAAGAGAAAAGGUAAAGUGAAAUGGCUUUUCAGGACUAUGUUCAGCAUUUUCACCAUUGGUGUGUAAUAGUAUGCAAAAUUUGGUGUGAGACGAUGAUUUUGGAGUCGGUCUAGAAUUUUAGACUCAUUGUUGGCCAAAAGCAACAAAAUUGUCCAAAUAGCUGAAUAGCUCAAUCUUGAUUCUAGAUGGGCAUGAAAUUGUAGCACCAAAUGAUGUUUUACUUUUAUCAAAGCAUUUUGAGAUGCUAGAGUACUAAAACUCAAACCAUUGCUGUUAAUAAUCAGAAACAAGGGCAGCUAAAUCAUUAUUACAAGAACGUUUGAAUUCCUUACAACUUGAUAUAACAAAUCUAUAAAUAGAAAUAAAAUAAUAAAAAUUCAAAAGAAACCAACUGAGAAUAGCACGGAUUUCAUUAUAAUUUCAACAUAGCCCCUUACCGAAUGUUUCAAGAAACCGAAGUGCCUUCUCAAGGAAAGAUGGACCUCCAUCAAUAUCUUCCAAUGCAAGUAAAAUAGGUCUUCCCACCACCAAAGAUUUAACAGGACGCUUAUCCCUCCCUGGUUAUAAUUAAUGGAACAUUGAUGGAUCAAGCAAGCAAGUAUAACACGCAUAUACCUACCCCAAGCAUUUGAAAAGGAAUCAACCAUCAUAAUGAACAGGUAAUUGCAAGAUGAAGCAGAAUACAAACAUGGAUGAAAAGAGCUGUCAAUUUUGUCAUUAGUGUCGCUCCGAAAAAUCCCAUUAUGUCCCAUGACAAGGGCAGCACUUGGUGCUUGUGCAAGGGCUUGUUCGAGUGCAGUUUUCCAUUCAAACAGAUCAUCUGAGGUUUCGGCCUUUUCAUGUGUGAGGCACAGGAACAGAAAGACCAGAUUAAUAAAAACUUCUAGGAAACAAAAUAUUCUUUGCAGAUAUGAUAUGGCCUAACUAGAGUACCUUGAGAGUGAAAGCUCGUCCAUCACGACCAUCAGGAAACAAUACAGUCAAGAGCUUCUUAUCCUCUCUAACAACAACACUACAUGAACCAAGUUGCAUGCUUAACUUCAACUAUAGCUAAUAAAAUUUGAAAUUCACAUUCAUAUAGAAAAACUUACCUCCCUGAAUUAUUCAAGUCUAUGCCCCCCAAAGUAAGAUUUACUUCACCCCCUCUUUGAGGAAGUGCACUCUAAAUAGAAAAUAAGAAAAGAUAUUUCAGUUGAUCUAAAUCCAUCAUGCUACAUCGUUGUCUACAUUUGAAGUUAAUGCAGCUAACAAGUGAAUGAAUCUUAUACAAGCAACAACAUUUAUCGGAGCAGUCAAUGAACACUUGAUUCAUCAGGAAACAAAUAAACUAAAUAACAAAGGGGGGAGAUGUUAAGCAAAAAUAUGCAGAAUGUUGCUCGAAGGGCCAUCCAAAGUACAAAAUAGAAAAUCUUCAAAAGAUUACCAAGUCCAAACCCACCAUUGUCUCAAGGAAAAGAAACUGUGUAUCCUCUUAAAGAGGUGUCUAGAUUUCUCUUCAUCAGUUUGAAGAUCCUCUUUUCUUUCCCGAUUUAAUCCCAUUUUUAAUAAUAGGAGGAAGUUGAACAUGUAAUGGAGUGGGAUUCCAGAUGAGAUCAAUUACUCAAUCAUCUCUGUAGGGCGAUCACUCCAUUUAAUUGGUUUUUCCAAGGUCUUUUCCUAAGCAAAUGUCUAUAAUUUAGAAGAGCUAUAGUUUCCACCUGAAGGGGCCAUCCAACUGGGUCACAGGCUAUGACUAACAACACAAUCAAGAAAAGCAAUCAAUUCUCUAGUUCUUUGUUCUCUCAAUCUGAUACCCAUUGGUAAAGAUUUCACAACAUCCAUCUUCAGAAACUAAGGCAACUUGAAAGGUCCUCAAACUAUGAAAGAGUUGUACUAUUGGUUGCCUACGAGAAAAUUGCAUUGUGUUUAUCUUUCAAUCAUCCAACUUCAAACAUUAAUUGCAAGAAAUCUUUAUCUUUUUGUUUUGUUUUGUUUUGUUUGAAUAAGAAACCAUUUCAUUGAUCAAUUAAAUAUGCAAAAAAAACAAAAUGAGGCCAUAAACGGGAUAAGAAAAGAUUCCUCCAAUUAGAUAUAAGAAAAUUAAAAUUGUAUCUAGAGGAGCUGUAAAUUUUUACACCAAACAAGGGCAUUGGUCAUGUUAAUUAUCAAACUGAUGGAGCUGAAAUCUCUAACUGCACAAACUGGCAAACAAAAAUUAUUACAUUAUUACAUGAUCAUGCAAUAAUUCAUAAUGUUUCUCUAACCCAAAACAUACCCUAUCAUGAUCAUCGAAAAUACAAUAGAUGAAAAGGAACAAGGCAUAGAAUGAUUAUCCAAAAUACCAAAACAAUAAAUAAAACUAAAAGGAAGAAAGAAAGAAAGAAAGAAAGAAUGAGAAAACUUUAACUAUACUAACAGGAUCGUUUUUAAAGAAUACUAGGGAAGUGCGUGUAAGGAUGAACCAGCGCUUCUUCCAAGAUUUCCAGCCUAGUCCUGAACAAAUAUAAGAACAUUAGCAAAAACACUGAGAAUGAAGACCCUUUCCAAGAGAAAUAAACAAGCGAGUUUAGCAUUAUAGCAUAGGUACUAGAGGAAAAUUUUCAAAAAUAUACUUAGAGAACAAAUGAAUGAGCUAUCUAUGCAAAACAAGCCCUAUUUUUGAAAACGUGAGCAUUAGCACAAGUUCAAUAACGAAAAUUUUCAGAGGUUUAAAAUCAAGAGAAACAUGGUGUAAGAUACGGUAGGUCGAAAUGCUAGCAUGUGUCCCAAGAUUGAGUUUGAAGCACCAUGUGGGUUAUUUCACCGAAGAGGAUCAUAAUAGCUAAACAUUCUAACCCUUGGCUUACCAUAGCCUGGAGGAAAACUCAACACAAUUAAGAAUAAGAUAUAAAAGCAAAAUCCAUAAAUGCAGAAAAUAAGUUCAUAUUUUUGCCAAUUGGGAAAUUUUGUGUGAUCCCCUUGGCUUGAUGGUGACCACUCAUCUACCCCUUUGGUAUUCCUCAUUGAUACUGAAUUUCAUGUUGCUUGCUCAAAAAAAAAGAUGGAUAGAAAAUAGUAGUAAGAGAUAAUCAAGGAUGACAUCACAACCUAAGAAAUUAUUCAAAAGUCUGAUUAUAUAUUUAACAAAAAGAAAUUAUAAAUGAAACAAGAAACAGGAAACAUAAAUUUUAAUUCAUGGUUUAACUCGUUUACAAUGGUGCACAAAGAAAAAUUGUCUCAAAUAGUCGCUUAUUUGUACAGUUGACAGUCACAUCAUGUACAUGAUUAUAAUAACUCUCAAGAAGCCCUAGUGAAGAUAAAAUUUUGAAGUGAUGGGGAAGAAAAGAAGCUCCAACCUUUGGAUGAUAUAAAAAGCGGGCCACUCUUGAAAACCUGCCAGAUAGAUGCAUAGUUUAGAAAUAAAGCUGAAUAAUGGGUGCUACACUACACCAAUUUUGCAGGGCACUGAAUCAAUCAAAUGGAAAAAAUAACGCUUAAACAUGAAGCUGCAUCUUUCCCAUGAUUUUGUCAUUGAAUCUUUCACAAGUAUAACGUUAUCAAGCAGUGUGCAUUGAAAACUCAGAGGUAUCUAACAUUACCACAAUCUAUAUUUCUUUCCAAAAAGCGUAACUUAGAUGAAAAUGAAUAAGAAGUCGACACAACGGCUCAUAAGCAAAGCCUUAAAUACGAAUCCAGCCAUUAACUUAAUGCCUUUUUUCUGUAAUUACCAGUUAGGUUUUAUUAUCCUAGAUUGAAGUUUGUUUCUUAGUUAGUAUUGGGACUCCUUUUGUGGGGGAGGUUUUCUCCCUAUCUGCUUGUAUAUUCUUGCACUUUUCCUAAUGAAAGCUAGGUUUCCUAUUUAUUCAAUUGCAUCUUUUGAAUUUGAAAGCUUGGUUUAUUCCAAGUAGGUCAAAUUCGAUUCGAAGUGAAAGCCAAAUAAAUCUUCAUGAUUAUUAUUGAAACUGAGACUCAAAUAGAUGUGACAUUGUCUCAGUUUCAAAAAUAAUAAAAUAAAAUCAAUUUCUAUGUCACAUCUUUUCGUGGGCUUGCCUUUUCCUUUCUUUCCUUUUUCCUCAUUGAAAGUCAUUUCUCAUCCCAGAAAAAAAAAACCUAUGGCUAAAACAAGUUCAAAGGGUGUAGGGGAAGAUAAAAUAUCAAGCAUCAGCCCACUUUAAGCCAAAGGAGCUGAUAGAAGUUUAUGCUAAAUACAUGUUUACAAAGGUGUCAAUUUUCCCCAAACAUGGCGAAUUCACAUUUCUAACGGGGGUGGCAACAAUCCUCCCCAUUUUGAUUUAUGGAGAUGGGAAGUGGGAAAAGAGAUUGCAAGUCCCAUCUUUCUAUGCCUUUUGAUUUUUCAAUAUUCUGCCACCUUCUCAAUAGGACCAAGGAAAUAGCAUUGGUUUUAGUACGAUCAUAACAAUUUCCCUUUUGAUUCUGGCUUCUCUAGCCCUUCUGUUUUUUUUUUUCCUUUUUCGCUUUUUUGUUGAUAGAAAACCAAUUACCAUUGACAAAAGAAAUGAAAGAAUACAGGACCACAAAAAAAACUAAGCCCUCAAAAAGAAGCACCCUCGAAGAAGAGUUUCAAAUCUAACAAAAUAAGACCUAAGGAAUAAUUGCAAGAAGAGCUCAUCACAAACAUCCAGAAAGAGGUGUUAAAAUUAGCCAAGGACCAAACAUCGAAAGGUCGUCUCGCCCCCCCUCAAAAGAUUCUACAAUUUCUCUCACCCCAAAUAGCCCACAUCAGUGCACACACUUCGAUCUUCCAUAAAAAGCCCCCUUCCAUCCAAGUGAUGAAUGGAUGUGGAACUCCUUGAUCAAAACACUAAAGUAUCCACAACGGCCUAGCUGUUGGUCAAACAGUUCAAAGAAGUUGUUCCAAACCAAAGUGCAAUUGCGGAGUAAGCCAAAUCUUUCUCUACCCUCUGACAAAGAAUACAACAGAAAGGCCCAACCAAGGGCAUCUUCCUCAAGAGUCUAUCCAAGGUGACUUUUUCCAUGAAUAACCUGCAUAUAAAGAUUUAUAACCUUCUUUUGAAAUUUUCACCUUCCAAAGAGCAACAAAAAAAGAAUUGACUCUUCGAAGGGAGAGGGAUCCAAUAAUUACUUUAUCCAAUCAAAGCAACAAAGAGUUGAAUCUCAGUGGAUCGCGGCAACAAGGCCACUCCGUCACUUAAAAUACCCUCUCAAGUAUUUUCAAUCAAAAUUGUGCUUUCCAUAAAAAAAUUAUAAAAGAAAUACUCUAUCACGUUUUUAAGUCAUUUGCAAAGGAAUCUAUCCAUCGCUCGGUGGAAAUUACGUUACAAGGCAGCCCUCACGACUCAUUCAUCAUGAGGGCUUAGCCAACAACACGUGCCUUUGGGGGGGUCUAGUAAAUACUUAAAGAAAAAAUUACAAGAAAACCCUUAGAAGGUUUAGUACUCCAACAACAAAAAUCAUUUCUCCCUUGCCCAACCGUAACAUUCCCCACUAAAGAAAUGAAUCUCAUCAAUCUUUCAAGUCUUCGUUCACUGAAGUAAAUUCAGAUCUUUUGGAAGUUUCCAGCUCUCUAAUCCAAGCUACCAUUUGCAUUACCAAGCAAGGUACUUUGAACUCUCAUCAAGAGUGCGAGCGAAAUCCAAGCAAGGUGCAAUAUGGGAUUGUUAAUCCAGAAGAAGCUGACAGUCUUGAUGCUCAAGAAGCUCUUGAAGAUUCUGAGGAUGUCCGUGGCUUGUUUGUGGAGGAAGGUUUAGAAAAAGAACAACCCUCUCUCCAGAAAUUCAGUAAAGAAACACCAAAGCACUUGCAUGACAUCAUUGAAGCUUGUGGUAUUUCUUUCAUUUGAGUUCUUUAAACUUUUUCUCCAGCAUUGUAAUUAGUCUUGGAUGAGAGAGUGCAUUGAAAGUCCUUCUCGAAUUAAAGGGAGUUGGGAGUUUUAAAAAAAAUGGUGGUUAGGAAGAAGAUAAAGAAGAUCACCCCGGUUUUGGUUUAGCUACAAAUAUCAAAAAGUAAAGUUUUAUUCCAAAUUCCUCAAUUCCUUGCGAAGAUCUUUUGCUCUUUUGUUGCUUAUGAACCACUUGUAAAAAGACUUAUGGAUCACAUUUGAAUAUGGACUAUAUGAUCAUAUAGAAACAACGUAUUUGACUAGAACUUUUUCCUUUAUCAAAGUGGAGGUAAUUAAGUUUGGCAAGACGAUUUCUAGCAAUCAGUAUGACUUGCGAAAGAAGAAGAUGUUUAGCUGUUUAUCAGAAAGCAGCUUCCUGGAAUUUCGUUUUUGGUCACUGUUUAUCCCCUUCAGUCUGCAUUUAUGCUCUGCCGCUGGUGACUCCUUGCAGCUCCUGUUUGUUUUUUCUCAAUUGUUUUGUAUUAUUGUCAGAAUUGUGCUUGGGAAGAUUCCAGAGAUAUUUUCAGUGCAAGCUUCUUAGCAUAAGUCCCCAAUGGAGUCACCAUUUUUCAGCCUCCUUGUGGUGUUCUUUCUCCAAUGAUCUCGAGUUUGCCUCGGUGCGAGUUUUUGGUCGUCUUUUAUUUAGAAGGAUGUUUAGUCUUGUGUUUGUAUUUGUAUUUCUCUAAACUUUGUUUUGUUUGUUUUGCCUUUGGGCAUUGCUCCUUUGUUAUGGGUUUUCGUGGUUGGAUAUGAUGAGGGUGCUAUGGGGUGUCAACCUAGUUGAGAUGUCCAGGUGCACCCCCUGAUUGAUGGUUACAUGCUCAUUGUAUAAUUCUCUUGUACUAUGAGCUUUUGUCUCAUUAUUAUUAUAUUGAUAUUAAUAAAUAGGCUGUUUCCUUUUCAAAAAUUCAAAAAAAAUUAUGGAUCAAGAAGCCAUAGUCAAUCCAUUCAAAUAAAUAAAGGGGGAAAAAAGACAAGAGCGUAUUAAAAAUUAUGAAUUGAAGACUGAAACUUCGAUUUCCAUCCAAAUGGCCAAAUAGGUACUGUUUGAACUCCAAAUUUUAUAACUCGAACCCAAAUAUUAAGGAAGUUAACAAGAUUGAACUGAGGAUGUAUUCAUAAAAGAGCUGAAGACAAUCUACGGCUAUUAGGCAAAUAAACAAGAGAAACUUAGUUCAAAUUUCACUACAGUAAUCCUAAGUUGAUCCAAAUAUUUACUUAACACAUUUACUAAAAUUAUUUAGAUUAAAAAACUAAAUGGUUGUGUUCCUUCGCUUCGUCAAUUCCGACCUUAAUAUAGUAUACUCUGAAAGUCAUCAAUUUCUACGGGAUUGGACCUAUAAUGCUCUUCGUACAUUGUUCCGAAACAAAUGAAAACAAAACAUUUCCCAACUAGUCAAUCCAUUAAAAAAGAAAAAAGAAAAAAAAAGCUCACAAAAUCAACUCGCAGCAUACAUCAAAUCCAAAACAAAGUUACCGUAUUCGAAGCCCCAGCUCUGGGACGCUCAAAAGCCGCCAAUGAAGCAGACAUUCUGACCGAUUCACUCUGAAGCUACGGCAUCGAGAGCACAGCCAAUGCAAGUAACCAAAUCACUCAAACCGUUAAACAUUCACCCAAAAAAACAAGUCCGAUAGCAAACCCCACUACUCCAAACACAGCAAGCAUCGAUUGCCGCACACACGACCACAAUGCCAGAUCAGAGAACAGCUCUAGCAACGAAUCAGUAAGAUCCAACAACCAAAGCAAAAGAAAACUGAUCCCUAGGGCUAAGAUUUGGAUAUAAACAUGAAAGCAGAGCACCGAAACACAAAACCAAUCACCAUCUCAUUUCAACUCCAAAUUUCCCUCCAUUUCUCACCUCCUCCGAUUGGAUUGAAGGAAAUUCCGAUGAAAUUAAGAACAACCCUCCAAUUUUGCUCCCUUGAAACAAAAUUUUUGGCACAAACUUCUCCUUUUCGAUUUUGUAUUGGAUUAGGUAGAUAGAACAAUAGUGGUUGUGGUAGUAAUAUGGUAAUAGAGAGAGAGAGAGAGAGAGAGAGAGGGAAAGAGAGCUUUAGAGAGAGAAAGAGAGUUACUUUGCUUUUCACCUAAUUUUGGCCGUGAGGAAAGAGAGAGAGAGGAAGAGGGAAUUUGGACAUGGAAGUGGCGGUAAUGUUACUCUGCAGUCGUGUAUAGUCAAGUUACGGUCAAAGUGAAAAUGAAAGCCAAUGAAAAUUCGCCACGUGUGAAUAAGAUUAUAUUUUGAAAACCCCUUUAAUAUAGGCUCCAAUUAUGGAGGUAAUUUAGAUUUAUAGAGUAGAAAGACCACUUUGUGCUAAUUUUGUCAAAAUGAUUUGACUUGUGAAGCCUAGUGAAAAAAAAUAGUGGAAAAGGAUUUUUUCUUUUUCGUUUUUAUUUCUUUUUGUUCUUUUCUUCAUAUUUAGUUAACUUUCCUUUUUUUUUCUCUCAACUCUUAAAUAAAUUUGAAGUCUUUCUAUGAAAAUUCUGAGUUCGUAAUUCCAUUAUUAACUCCUUUUCUUUAUGUUUGUUUUUUACGUGACCAUUUUUUAGGUUUCAAUACUACUUUUCUCUUUAUAUUUUUAAAUUAUUUAUUUUGUUUUUUUUACUUUUUAACUUUAAUUUAUUUUAAUCUAAUACCUUUGAAUGAUUACUAUUAUUAUAAUUCAAAUUAUAGUAAUUUAAACAAUAAAUACAAAUUAUUAUAAUUUAUAACUAUAAUAACAUCACAUUUUUUAAAUAUAUAUUUUUUUAGAAUACAAUGAUUAAAUGAACUAAGACCCUCAAAAUAAAUCAAAAUGGAAAAUGGAAAUUUAAAAACACCAAUACCAAAAUAAAUUAAAAUUGGAAGGAUGACAACACACCAUAUUUAAACUGUUUUUCUACCGUUGUUAGUAAUUUUUAUUUUCAAUUUGUUUCAAAAGUUUAAAGUAAAAGGGGAGUGAGGAGGAGUUCAAAUAAUUGAAAGAAAAAAACAUAGCAUUUAUAUUUAGUGUAAAAAUCUAUUUCAACCCUAAUUUUUAUAAUCAUUUCUAAGAUAUUUAAUUAAAAAGUUAAUUACUUAAGUUUUAUUUGAGUAGUUUACUUAGAUAUAAUAUACAAAAUUUUAUAUAAUAGUAAUUAUAAUAAUCAUUUUUAUUAUUGAUAUAAUUGUUUAAAAAAUAAAUAAUGUUAAAUUACAAAUUUUGUCAAAAUUCAAAAUGCGUCCCUACAUUUUCAAAUGUGUAUAAUAAAUCAAUCAAAAAAAUUCAAAAUCUAGGAAAUUAAUUAAUUUGCAAAUCAUUUAAAUUUGGUAUUCGAUUAAACUCGCAAUUCGUGUAUGAUAAACUAUUAAAUUUUAGAAAUAUUAAAGUUAAUUGACUAUAUACAAUCAAUUCAGAUGUUUUCAAAUAUAAUAAAUUAAACUAAAAUAUUUAUAAGUAUAGUAAAAUAUCACAAAUACGUGUUAAUAGACUAUGUAUAUCUAUCAUUGUUAGAUUUUAAUAUCACAUAAAUUGUAAAAUCUUGCUAUAAGUAGUUUUACCAUUAGUAACAAUUUUAUUUUGUAAGUUUUGAAAUAGCAAGUUUGAUUGUGUAAUCAUUUGUCUUUUUAUUUUUAAAAUCUAAUUAUAUAUGCUCUAAAUCGUGUUUAUCAUUAUUUAUUUUGUAAUCAAUUUUUCUUUUAAAUCGAGUUAAAUUUAAACAGAACUAAACAAAUAUUUUUUAAAAACUUGUUUUUAUUUUAGUAAUAUGGCUAAUAAUUAAACUUUUGUAUGUAAUUUAUAUACAAAUAGUUGUAAAUAAAAUUUAGAGUUGGGAAAUAAUAUGCAUAUUUUUCGAAAAGGUAAUUAUAGAGAAAUAAGUAACAAAUUUAGGAAUAAUAAUAAAAUAUAUAGCAACAUUUAAUAAAAUUUAAAGAGCCAUAGAAGUAUAUGUUGAUAGAUUUAUAUGGUUUGUUAAUAAUAAACUACUAAUGAUAUAGUCAAUAUUGAUAAAUCACAAGAGUUUGUUCCGUGAUAGAAAUAUGCUAAUAUUUUAAAAAUGAUUGUUUCAUUUGGAAUUGUCCCUUUUAAAAAACUACAAAAGAAAUGUUACCAUAUAAAAUCAUAAUUAGGCAAGCAUAAAGUAAUACAACCUAUGUUUCAAUGACUUGCUAUAGCACAUGCUCAAUCAACUCAUCAAUAUGAUAUUUGAGCAUUAUGUUCUCGAAGUGUGUAUUCUCAUUAUUAUAAAUCAAAUCAAGUGCUUUUAAUGUUUUGUUUAAAAUUAGCAAUGAUACAAAUUAAAAGUAGAAAUAAGUGAAAUAACUUUUAACAUAGACAUUUUUGUUUAUGAAAAUAUAACUAUAUAAAACAAUGUCCUACAAAACUACUACACACACAUUCAAUGAACACCCAGUGUCCUACAAAAUCUAGCUAACAUAUAAUAUAAAAAAAACAAAACAAAAUACAACCUUUCAAAAUUAUUGUUAUUAUGUCAAAAAUGAAUUUGAUUAAAGAAUACAAAUGAAUUGAGAUUAAAUCAUUUGUUAUUGUAAAUAAAAUUAUCAUAUUCUCAAAUAUAGUAAAAUAAAUAAAAAUAUUUGUAUGGUACAUCGUUAUAAACUCAAAUGAAUUAUUAUAGAUAUAACACAAAUGACAGUCUAUCAUGAUUUAUAAUAAAUAGACGGUCAUAUUUUAAGUAUGAAAAGUGAUUUGAGUUAUUUUAGAAUAUUGGAAUGGUUUUCUAACAAAUAAUUUUGUGAUUACUCUCUGUCAUGAAUGGUUGUCCAAGGAGCCAUCCAAAAGGACUGAAGUUAAAAAAUAAAUCGAAUUUUGGUUAAAGGAAUCAGCUAAAUAAUGAUAAAAUAAUUGAGUUAUCUAGUUAUUAUUAUAUUUAUUAGAAACACCUGCAAAGUUCAAUAAAUAUAUGACUAAUAUGUUUUAAAAAAUAAAUAUAUAAUCAAUAACAAUUAUUUUCUCUAUCAUAUUUUAUUCUGUCGUUUUUGUUUAAAUGAAAAGCAAGAAAAAAAAAUUAAAAUGAGAGUUUUUAUUGAUUUUGCUAAAUAAUUUUUAUAUUUUUAUAUUUUAAAAAUGUUUAUCUUUUUUAUUAGGAUAUUUGAUAAUGAAAAAUUGCAUCCGAUGAUAACAAAUUUAUAGUGGUCUCAAUAUGCACGUGACGAAGAAAGUGAAAUAGCGUGUGACAUGAAGUAAAAUAACUCUAAUCUCCAUUUGCUUAAUUUACACCUUAAACAUAACGUGAACUAAAAUAAUUCACUCUACUCCUCUGAAGUCACUCCAAACAAACUUUAAAAAUUAGUACAUUCAAUGACAUUAUAAAUAUUUAAAAUUAGAAUAGAAAGACUAAAAUAAAAUAAAAUCGUAAUCAACAAUAUGUUAACCUUAAAAAUAAAUAAAAUAAAGUAACAUGACUUCGAGAACAAAAAAAAAAAGCUAAUCAAAACGAAAGAGUCACUCCAACGGCUAAAAGAGCACUAGAGUAUCCACAAUCUAGGGAGUGAGUACGUGGCAACAUAUCAAUGACUAGACGUCCAAGAAACUCAGUAUCUAAAAGGCAGAGGAUUACCACCACACUAAAAAAUAGAACUAAUUAUUAAAAAAGAGAAAAUAGCAACAAUAAUUACAAAGAAAAAGUAAAAAGGAAAAAAGAAAGAGCACGCGCGAAGCUACAGCGCGUGAGCAUCACAACAAAUAAAAUGGGAGUGGGACCCAGAAGUCAAAAGCAUUGGAAAGCGACGUUUCAGUGAGUUGCCUUGGAGCGCAAGGGCAAGAGCGUGAGGGUGAAGCAAACCACACGGAGAAAGGAUCCAUUGUUUUCUUUUGGUGGUUAACUGGCUUGGACGGUAACCGGUCAGAUGUCGCUUGUCCAUUUCGGUUAAAUAGCCAAUAAAGUUGCGCUUCACGUUUUUGUCUUUUACGGUUCUUGCUACCGGUCGUACCUGUCAACUUUCAUCGUUUAAAUUAAUAAUAUGAAUUCAUUUCUCAUAUUUUUGUUUACGACUUAAAUUUGAAUUUUUACCCUUAAACCAAUUUUAAAUUUGGGUGUCACGUGUCCGCUUGCAUAUUCAAAUAUAUUUUUCUUUUGGUAUACAUACGUUUGUGUAUAUAUAUAUAUUUCAUUUGGUUUUAGUAAUUACAUUUUCAAAAUUUUAAAGUUACUAUAACUGUACUUGAAUAAUGACAAAAUUGCUAAAAUCUAUAAAAUUUCAAAUACCAAUAUAUUAAUGUCUAUUAAAAUUUGAUAUUUGAUAAAUAUUUUUAUUUAUUUUGUUAGAUUUGAAAAUACCUCUUAAUAAAAUUGAGUGUUUAAGUUAAAAUUUAUCAAAACUAGUUAAUAAUAAAUUUAAUGCAACAAAAUUUUAUAAGAAGAGGUAACAAGAGCUGAAUUGUUUUAAGUCCACUAAUAAUAUACUAAAAUAUGAGUGACCAUUUUAAAAGUAAAAAUAUGGAGACUUGCCUACAAAAUCAACCAUAAAAUAUAUCUAACGACAUAACUAAAAUAUUAUAAACUUAACUAACGUUACUAAUUCAUAGUUAAUUAAAUUACUAUUUAGUAGAUAAAUAUAUCAAUCAUUAUUCUAGAGGUUGAUAGUUCAAUAUCAAUGUCACGAUUGUUAAACUUUGAUUGGAGAACAGAAAAAAUGUUCAAAAUUUUAACCUAUUAAAGAUUCAAAUAUUUGAUAUAUAUACGCACACGAUCAACUAACAUCAAAUAUUUGAUAUAAAAAAAUGAAAUAUAUGUGAACUAAUAUUGAAGACCAGGACAAGUCAUAAGAGAAGUUGUCCUAUGACUGUGUGAAAUUAUGUAAAUUAUAGUAUUAGAAUUAAAAUCGAAGCAUAUAAGGUCAACGAAAUGAAAAGUUCCAACUAAAAUCCUUAGAUAUAACUUUUGUAAUUUAUUUAAAAUAUUGUGAGAUUUGGUAAGGUGUAGGUGUGAGAAGGAACAUUCAAUCCCAAGUAAACAAAGAUAUAUGAAGUUAAGUUUGACAAGAGAGAGGUUAGAAAAUUUAUCUUAUAACCCGGGUUAUAAGGUGGUGGACUUAAUUUUCACUCCUUGUUUAAAUUUCAAAUAUUUGAGCGGUAGUCGAAUUUUAAGUUUAAUUUCAAUUUAGUUGAGAGAUUUUAAAAUAUUACAACUUAUUUGUUCGUAUUUGAAUUUUUGUUUCGAUAUAGUCCAUAAAUUUUAAAUUGUAUACUUUUAACCUUAAUAGACAUUAAUAUCUAUUGAUAAAUCUAAAAUAGCUAAAGUAAAUUUUAAAAAUUUAUUUAUUCAAUAGACAUCAUUCUUAGAUGGAAAAUUUAGUAUUGAGUGAAAAUUGGAAAAUUUAGUAUUGAGUGAAAAUUCGAGAUUAAAAGAGUAAAUCUUCAAAAUGACAAGUAAAAAAAAGUUAAAUCUUCAAAGGUAAAAUUAAAAUAUUUUGAAACUUAAAACUAAAUUAUCAACCUUAUUCUAUAUUUAAGAAAAAUUGAAUCCCUUUUUCGUUUUUAAGUUAAAAAAUUGUUCUUAAGAUAAGAUGUUAAUGGUGGUAUAUGAAAUUAUGGUUAUGCUAGUAUUUAAAUUAAAAUAAAAGAGAGAUAUAGAUUUUUUGUGGAGUGUUUUAAAUGAGUAAAAUAAAAUAAAAUAUUUAUAAAUAUAAGAAAAUUUUAGAAAUUAUUAAUUAAAAAAGUUUGAAUUUUAUUAUAUUAUUAAUUUUGAAAUAGUGGGAGGGAUGAAGUAGUGUGGGGGCGGGGCGAAGGGGGAAGUGAUUAGGAAUUUAUUUGAGAAUUAUUUUAACAAGGGUUGUUUAAAAUUUAAAACGCAACAGAAAUUAUUAUGAGCAUUGCAUAUUAGUAUUUAGGAGAAGGAGUUUCGUACUGUGCACGAUACAGCUGUCAAGAAUAAUGUUACCGCUAUUACAUUAUAGUUUCAAUAAUACUCCUUUUUCUUUUCUUUUCCUUUUUUAGCUCUCUUAGACGUAUUCUCCACUCUCUAUUAAUGACACCGCCGUCCUAAUUUUAAUUUUGUAUAUAAUCAUAUAAAUAUUGUUUCUUUAGAGUACAUAGCAAUUGACAAAUUGUUUUAAAUGGUAAAUUUGUUUGUUCAUGGUAAAAUUCAACCAAACGAAUUCACCUUAUGUUUACAUGCGGCCAACGAAACAUUUAUAAUUUGAAGAAAAAAAUUACUUACAAAAAUAAAAAACACAUUUUUGUGGUGGUUGUUAGUUAGUAUUAUGCAUAGAGUGAGAGCAAGUAGUUUUCCUUUUAAGGAGGAGUUAGUUUGCUUUUGUAGAGUUGUUAUAUUUAUAAUGAGAUUAUUGUGCUCGGCCUCAACUUCGAUUGAUGAGGCCGUGUCGAGCAAACAAACCACUAAGGCCCAAUUUGUCUCAACUCAGCCUUAGCCUUGCCCGAUGAGGCCAAGGUGAGGCAAUGGAUUGAAGAGGCUCAACUAGUCUUGGUCUCAGCCUUUCGAGCCAAGGUGGUUCAAUUAGGUUAUGGCCUCAUUGCAUAUUUUCUCUAAUUUUUUAUAACUAAAAUUAACCUCUUAGUCUUAAAUUUUCAUUGAAUGCUCACUUUUUAGUCAAAUAUGAUAACAUUUAUAAAUUAAUUUAAUAUAAAAAAUUAAAAUGAGCUUUAAGGGGCUAUUUGGGGGAAAGGUUAUUAUUGUUAGAAAAGUCUGUGGGCUUUUGGCCCAAUACACAGUUACCUAUAAUGUUGUCUCACAUUGAUACAUUUGGGAGAGACAAAUGUGUAUAAAUAGUUAAGUGCCACUAGAGAAAUACAAUUUGUGUUGAUGGUGAUAGUAUGACCUUGUCAUCAUGCGUGCCAUCGUUGUCCAUUCGGGCAGGCUCCUCAACUGUAAAACGCCCUGUUGGACUAUAUUGAAAUAUAAUUUGUUCUAAGACUCAAGAAGUUUGAGUGUCAUUGUGAGCUAAGGUGGGACGACAAAACUAGGCAUUUUAGCUUGUGACGGCGGCCAAAGACACGUUAGGCAAGCAAGCUAGGUGACCAACCUAGUGCAAUUUACCUCUAAAGAAACCAUGCGACCAAGCCAUGUAAAGGGCAUGUGGCUAAGGGUGGUAAGGAAGGCUAGGCGAGAGAUGCAAAGUCAGACAUUUAAGAGAUGUUAAGAACCUCUAAAGAGGUUAGCAUGCGACCAAGGAACUCUCACACGAGCUAGGCUAUACGACCAUGAUAAAGCAUGCUAUAAAGAAAGCUAGGCGGCAAGAAUUGUUUAGAGAGCCUCUAAGGACAAAGGCUUUGACAACUAAGAGUGUCUAAAGCAUUAUGGGCAAUAGGAGAAGUGGAGUACAAAUGCGUGACAUGCAAGGCACCUAGUUUUUGCUAAGUAGGGAGGUGUAAAGUGAUCAACGUGCGGUGGAAAGUGACAAGUAGGAUGUGUGAAGAGGUUAGUAGGAAGUGUCACCAAGAAGUCAUGCAAGGAUCUCUAUAUAAAUGAAACUUUGAGUGAACGAUGUUCACAAUCCACUCGUUUCAUUUGGGUAAUUUCACUUGAAAAAUCUUUUAAAUUGAGUCUAGUGUCAAAGGUAGAGCUACCAAACAAAGAAUACGCGAGGAAGGGAUGCGUUGAAGAGAAGAAAUCCAUAAAUGUCAUUUUAAAAGGAAAUCUAGAUAGUGUUUGAGUAUUUUGGAGCUAUAGAACUCAAUACUUGAAAUCUUUUGCUAAAAUUUGAUGUUACAAUAGUUAAGACAUAUCUAAGAAAAUUUGUAGAAGGAAAUUUCUUGAUUUUAGUCCUAGGUUUUUAGUUAUUAAGCUUCAAAGUUGAGUAAAGACUCUGAACUAAAAUUCAAUUUCUGGACAAGACUCAAAGGUGGGCUGAGUGUUAGAAAGAUAAGGUAAGAUAGACAUGAAAAAUAGACAAGAGAGUUUAUUUGGGCCUUGAAGCAUGCAAGAGGCAUGCCUAGCACACAACCAAGCGACGUGAGGCAUGUGCCUAGGUCAUGCAGGCUUGCAUGCUCGCACAAACUAGGUCAGUCAUGAGCAACGCAUGACGCGCGACAUAUUUAGCACAUGCAUGGUUGUGCAUGCAAACAUGCAGCGUGUGUGACGUGCAUAAUCAGUUUGCAAGGUUAGCAUGCGAUCAAGCCCCUGGGCUUGCACUUGCACGUGCAGCCGUCUGCUCAUGUUUUGCAUGCCAGCCAACCCACAUACCAUUUUUUUGUGUUUUAGCAAUUUUUACUUGGAGAUUGGAUAUUUUUUAAAUUUUGGAGACUAAAUGGAGUAUAAAUUGCCCUAUUUUCAGGAUAAGUGGAAUUUGGAGAAUUUUUCUCAAAUAAGAAGAAAACCUCAAGUUUGUGAGUAACAUACACAUUUAAAUGGUUUAUAAGAAUAUUUCUAAGUUUGAUUUAUUAGGCAUGAUUUCAAGUUUCACAAGCAAUAGUUUGUGAGUGGCUUGCAUUUAAAUGUUUUACUUAAAUGCUUAAGAUUUUCAAAUUGGAUUUCAAACUUCUCAAGUAUAGUUUGUGAGUGUCUUGCAUGUAAAUAUGUUUUCAUUAAGCUAUGGUCAUACUAUACAAACUACUUCUGAAUAUGCACAUAGGAUUCUCAACUACUAAUGUGAAAGCUUUAUAGAGGGGCAUAGAGCGAUUACAUCAGUGAAGGCACAAGUGCCUAUGAGGAAGGUUCAACUUAUACUGACCUAUGUUAAACUAUGAAUGUAUAACUAGAAGCUAGUAUGUGAUAGCUUAAUGUAUUUAUGAAUGAUUAGGGAGUUCUAAAAUGUUUCAAAAGUUUGAUUAUAUUAAGAUUACAACAACUUAUACGUUCAAAAUCGUGCAUUGAGCAUAACUAUUUGAAAAGUGUUUUAGAAAACCAUUACUCACUGAGCAUUUUUAGUGCAUUCUUUGAAAAUAAUGUUUUCUCACUUUUCAAGUAAUGAUCAGGCUUCCUUGAGCAGGUCAGUAGGGUAUUCUUGAGGAAAAUACGAUAUUAGUUGACUUCACGCCGUCUCUCGAAUCGAGAUUAGGUGGUUCAGAAGGGAGUGCCACAUAGCUUACAUAUAUAGUAGAUUAUUUUCUUCAAUCACUUUAGUCAAACCUUGUCUCGUGCAGAUCCAAAUAGCGAGUGAUUUUUUAGAUAUCCUAUGCUUGAGCUUGCAUGUCCCUUAAUUUUCAACUUUAUGUUGUAAGAGCAACAAACUAAUUUUUCCAAUGUUAUUUUCCCAAAUUGGUUUUUUUUUCUUUCUCGAAAAUGAAAAUUUGGACAGUGAAAGCAAAAAUCAACCCAAUUAAAUUUCAAGAUGAAAUAAUGAGAAAAUUCGAUGGAAAACGUUUGAAUUAUGUUUAGGAUUAAUAUACGUUAUUUUUUAAAUUUCAAUUCAGUAAAAAUAAAUCUUUAAUUAGAGUUUGAGAGAAGAAUUUGAAAUAUGUUGAUAUUCAAAAUUGAAAAUUAAAGGUAAUAAUGAUUUUGGAACACAUCCAUAUUUUGUCAAAAUUUUAGAAUUUACUAAAUUCAAGUGUUCAAUUUAAUAAAUUGGAAUAUGUUAGACUUUUGAAAAAAGAAAACAAAUUGUAAUUGGAAAUUUCACGUGGAAAAUUAUGUAUUUUGAAAUAAAUGAAAUUUUUGAUAUUUUUUUGGUGUAUCCUUUGAAAUUUUGCCAAAUAUUCAUAUGAUAUUUCGAAAUAUCUAUGUCUACCAAUUUUCCUUUAAAUAAUAUUCGCAAAACAAUAUAUUGCCAAUAUUUCAAUGUUACCAUCAAUUUUUUCAUGAUAAAAAGAUGUUAACCCUGUUAUCUUUAUCGAAAAUUCCGUUUUGGUGAUAUAUUGCGCUUUUUUCAGUCCUUGAAUAAAUUACGUCCUGGAGCAACAUUUAGAUAACACAAGACUUGUUCCAAUACAGUCCAAUAUUCAAUUGCAUAACAUAACAUGUAUUGACUCAUAAUACUCAACAUACUAUGUUUUGUUAGUCAUUAUAAGAUAAUUAAGCUUUCCUACAAACUUCGUAUAUACUUUUAAAAUCUUUUAACAAUUCUCCAUAUUUUGUGAGUUGUAAAUUGUACAUCAUCGAGGUGCUGCAUAGCUUAGCCCCCAAAUUUUUCGGAUUUAACCAACAAGUCACCUAAAUAUUAUUUUCUUACCUCUUAUUACUUUAAUUCCUAACAAGUAUUUUAACAUACACAAACCUUUCUUAUGAAAUUGACUACGGAGAAGGUUAUUAGGGACUCCAUACCUAGAGCAUCAUCAUUAGUAAUCACAAUAUGAUCAACAUGUACAAUUAAAAAGAUAACACCAUUGAAGACCUCUUGAAAAGUAUUGAAUGAUAUGAUGUGCUCUUCUACAUUUCAAAGUUUUCAAUAACCUGUCUAAAUUUUGUAAACCAAAUCUGGGGACUUUACUUUUUUUUUUUUUUUUUACUUCUUGGAAUAGAUAAGCUUAGGCGCUUUUCUUUAAUCCAUACAAAAUUGUUUGAAUGCGACAUACCUUCAGCACAUUAUGGUGGACGCUCCAUGUGCUCCUAUCUCGAAGAUCACCACGAAGAAAUACAGUUUUAAUAUCAAGCCGAUGCAAAGAUCCAUGAUUGAUAUUGAAGCUAGUGAAAUAAACAACCUCACAAAGCCCAACUUAGACAUUAUAAAAAAAAAUCAACAUAGUCAACGCCAUGAGCUUGUGAAUAGCGUUUGGCUACGAGGUAUGCUUUUAAUCGAGCUACAUAACUACAAAAUUGACUUUAAUUGAAAACACCCAUUUUAUAACCAAUUGACUUCUUUAAGAAGAUAAACUAAAUUCCAAGUACAACUUAAUCUAAUUAACCCUAAAUUUUAACCUAAUCAAAAUUAAGUUUUUAAAUACAACUAGGAUACGAAAAUGAAACCAUAUUUUGUAUAUUUUUUUUCUAUAGCAAUUCAUGCUCACUUUAUUUUAGAAAGAGAUACGCAACAAGAAGAUUUUGGAAAGAAAUAUGCAACAAUAAAUGCACACGGUCAUCUCUACUAGGUAAUCACCCUUUUAGCAUCCUCGUCAUUCUUCACGUAGAUCCCGUGCUUACAAAUACACCUAAAUGCUAAUUCAACUAUGUUAAAAUUGAUUUGGAAGACUUAAUAACAACUUUACUGAACCCAGAGCAAAAUAGUUUUAAAUUUAACUAAAUAGAUCAAUGAUUUAAAUUAUCCAAUAGCCACACUUUUUUUUUUCUUUAAAUUUAAGAAAAUGGUUUUAAACCUCACCAAAUAGUAUCCACUUUCACAAGCUGCACAAACCCCGCCCAAUUCUCUUGCGUUUCGAAAAGAGAGAAACUUCGGUCCUGUAUUGCUUCAAGGUUCCUCCAUAAUUUUGAUGCUUCGUCUUGCUCCAAAUCUUCUUCGCAAAAUCUCAAGCAGCCCCAUUUCCUCAACCCCUUUCCAUCGUUUUUCCCUUUCCACAUUUCUCAACCUCGAUCUGUUACAGCAACAAUUGCUGUUACGCUUCAUCACUGGCUCUGCUUCCAGCCCUAGCCUCUCAAUAUGGAGGAGGAAGAAGGAGAUGGGCAAGGAGGGUCUGAUUGUAGUCAAAGAACUCAAGAGACUUCAGUCCAAUUUCAUUCGCCUCGACCGCUUCAUUUCCUCCCAUGUCUCUCGCUUGCUCAAGUCCGACCUUGUUGCGGUUCUUGUUGAGCUUCAGAGACAGAAUCAUGUCUUUCUCUGCAUGAAGGUAUGCCCUCAUUUACUCGCUUUAUUAUUAUCUCUCUUCCCCUUUAUGACAUAUGUUGAAUUUUCAGCUCUGUUAAGCGACAUGAGAAGUUAAUUAGUUUCUUGCUAGUGUAUUGGUUAAUUCGGAAUUGCCGUAAUUGGGAUGAAUUACGUAUAUGGGAAUCAUUUUUACCUUAGCAUUCACGGAUUGGAAAUGACAUAGGUUUGGUUUUUGUCGAUUUUUCAUCAACCUUUGUGUGUUUUUUAGUAAAAUUCCCGUUCAAGUAUUUGAUGACUGCGUUUUGAAGUAGUCGAAAGUUAUGUGAACUCUAGAAGCGUGGUUGGUGAAAAUAGAUACGACUAUGGCAUGCGAACCUUCUUUUAGCUCAAUUCAAAUUAGGAGUACUUGCUUGCAUUAGCCUUUACACUAUGUCUGUUUGAAGUGAAUAGAAGUCCCGUUGAUUGAGAUCAGGGCUGAAAGAUUUUCUUCUACAGGCUGGGUGUACUGGGAAUUUAAUAUAAAAGAACGGCUUAAAUAAGUAGGCUAAAUUAUCAAAUACCAACCGUUAUUGAGUUGAGACUGUGUAUGUGAAUGGAUAUAUUUCAUGUUAUCUGUACUAGUAGUAAUAUAGGAAUGGAAAUAUUUCAUGUUAUCUGUACUAGUAGUAAUAUGGGAAGAGGGAAGAGUAGUGAUGCAAAGUUCGUCAAGUUUCAAUGUAUUGAAGUUAUCUUGGGACAGGUCUUUAAGGAAAUGCCUUCCUCUCUUCUUAAUGGUGAGAUUCCCUACUUUGUUCUUUUUCCUACCAAGAAUUUGUUUCCUAUUGCUCCUAAGAUAUUUGGUUGUGUCUGUUUUGUUCGUGACGUUCGUUCUCAUCAUACUAAGUUAGAUCCCGAAUCCUUGAAGUGUAUCUUCUUGGGCUAUUCAUGUGUUCAAAAGGUAUCGGUGUUAUUGUCCUAUCCUUAAAAGGUAUCUUGUUUCGCCUGAUGUUGCAUUUUUUGAGGAUAUACUCUUUACCUCAUCACCAUCGAGUUCGUGUCAGGGGAGGAUGACAAUCUUUUUAUAUAUGAGGUUACCUCUCCCACACCAUCCUCUUCCACUGAUGCGCCUCCUUCCCGCCUGUUGAUUUCUCGAGUCUACUUUCGACGACCUCCACCUCAACCUUCAGGCUCAUGUCCUCCAUCAUGCAAUCUGAGGCUAAGUGAUGAUCUUCCUAUUGCUCUUCACAAAGGUAAACGCAAGUGUACUUACCAUAUUUUUUCGUUUGUUUCUAUCACUAGUUGUCUCUCCCCACAUAUGCUUUUAUUACGUCUCUUGACUCCACAUCUAUUCCUAACUCUGUUCAUGAAGCUUUAUUUCAUCCUGGAUGGCAAAAUGCAAUGAUUGAGGAGAUGACUGCUUUAGAUGAUAAUGGUACUUGGGAUUUGGUAUCUCGUUCUGCAGGAAAGAAGGCCAUUGGUUAUAAAUGGGUGUUUGCUGUCAAGAUGAAUCUUGAUGGAAUCGUGGCUUGAUUGAAAGCUCACCUUGUUGCCAAAGGUUAUGCUCAAAUCUAUAGAAAUGAUAAUUCAGAUACAUUUUCUUCGGUUACCAAAUAAACUUUCAUCCGCUAUUUCUUUCCAUGACUGCUAUCCAUAAAUGACCUUUGCAUCAACUUGGCAUUAGGAAUGCUUUUCUGCAUGACGAUCUUCAAGAGGAAGUUUAUAUAGAGCAACCACCUAGGUUUGUUGCUCAGGGGGAGAGUGAUAAAGUAUGUUGCCUUCGAAAAUCUUUGUAUGGUUUAAAGCAGAGUCCUCGUGCGUGGUUUGGUAAGUUUAGUCAAGCUCUUGUAUGAUUUGGUAUGUAGAAGAGUACAUCUGAUCAUUCGGUUUUCUAUCGUCGAUCUGAUAAUGGUAUAGUUCUACUAGUUGUAUAUGUUGAUGAUAUUUUUUUUACUGGAAAUGAUGCAUCGGGUAUUUCGUCUCUCAAAACUUUCCUUCAGGGUCAGUUUUAUACGAAAGAUUUGAGCCAAUUGAAAUAUUUUUUGGGCAUUGAAGUGAUGAGAAGCAAAAAAGGUAUUUAUUUGUCUCAAUAAAAAUAUGUACUUGAUUUGUUGUCUGAGACAGAAAAAUUAGGAGCCAAACCAAGUGGCACUCUGAUGAUUCCUAAUCAGCAACUUGUUAAAGAAGAGAAUUAUGUAAAGAUCCUGAGAUAUAGGAGAUUAGUUGGGAAGUUGAACUAUUUAACAGUGACUCGACCAAACAUUGCUUGUUCUGUAAGUGUUGUAAGUCCGCUCAUGUCUUCUCUUACAGUAGAUCAUUGGGCUACAGUAGAGCAAAUUUUGUGUUAUCUGAAAGUUGCUCCUGGACGUGGGAUCUUAUCCAAAGAUCAUGGACAUACGAGAGUUGAAUGUUUUUCUGAUGCUAAUUGGGGGAGAUCUUGUGAGGAUAGGAGAUCAGCUUUUGGAUAUUGUGUCUUUGUAGGUGGAAACUUAGUAUCAUGGAAGAGUAAGAAACAAAAUGUUGUUUCUCGUUCGAGUGUUGAGUCAGAAUAUAGAGCUAUGGUACAAUCUGUGUGCGAAAUAGUGUGGAUUCACCAACUAUUAUAUGAGAUAAGUUUCAGCAUUACAGUGCCAACUAAAUUAUGGUGUGAUAAUCAAGUUGCACUUCACAUUGCAUCUAAUCCAUUAUUUUAUGAACGAACUAAACAUGUAACUUCAUUCAUGAGAAAAUCUAAGAUGGAUUGGUGUCCACAGGAUAUGUGAAGACUGGAGAACAAUUGGGAGAUAUUUUGGCUAAAGCUUUAAAGAUGGAGCAAUGAUAAGCUAUCUGUGCAACAAGUUGGACAUGAUCGACAUAUUUGCUUUUGCUUGAGGGGAGUGUUAUGAUAUAUAGUUAUAACACAUGUCCUUUAUUGUAAUUGUACACAGUGUCUAGGGGUUAUUUUUCUUGUUGAAGAGAGCACUACUGGGUUGGGGAAUAUACACACCAGUUGGAGAGCUUUCAAUGCGAAGGACGAAAGCGUCGUCUAAUGGUGGAAUCUUAGAGUCAGAGAGAAUCUGUGCCUUUGGCAUUUCAAAUUCAGCUAAGAGUCCAUUCAAAAAGAUCAUAACAACCAUCUUCUCUCGUUGAGCUUGUUGAACUUUAACAACAUGACUAAAAGGUAACAACAAGCCAAGCUCGACAGUUAUCUUCUUAAGGCACUUAAAGUAGUUGGUAACAGACUUAGCUUUUUGUUCAGCACGAAAAAAUUUCAUACAAACCUCAAACAUUUUAUGUACUUGCUCUUUACUUGAAUAUAAAAAAUCUAAAAAUUCCAGAAGUUCUUGAACAGACUCACAAUGAUCAACCAAUCCAAUUAUCUCACUCUCAAUGGAGUUUUUGAUCUGAAGAUAUAAACGGGCAUCAUCACGAAGCCAAUAAUUUUUCUGCUUUGCAUCUUCUGGGAGAUCUUUGCUCAUAUGAUCAUCCAUAUUAGUACUUCUCAAAAUAGAACAAAAUUGUCCGACGCCAGUCGUAAUAAUUAGAUUAAUUUAACUUGAUGUUUUGUAAUCUUAGAGGCUAAGGGAAUAAUGUUGGAGAUUAUCAAAUUUUUUUAUGUCAGCAAAAUUGAAGUCACACAUUGAUUGUAGUCUACACAAUCAAAGAAAAAAUCAAUCCAAAUAGAUAGAAAAUUGGAAUAAAACCCUAAAACAAUGGCGUAGCCUUCAGUUUUUGUCAAACCGAAUACUAUUUGAUAACAACACAGAUUGACCGAAAACAAAGUUUGAGACAAGCCCAGAAGACGGAGGUCAAAUCGGAGUCCUCACGCACUAGCGCGUGGAUGACGUGCAAAGAUAUUUCGACAGCGUGUGAAGCUCACGCGCGGUGUUUUCCGACGAUCGACGAAGGCAGUCUUGGGCUGAUGGAGGUGGCGCUUCUUAUGGUCUGGACGAUGUUGACAAACGAUCAGUGGAAGGUAACCUGAACUUAAGCCUAAUGGAGAAGGAAGCUAACGACCAUUCGAAAGCCUAACAACUCCAAUACCAUGUAAUCCAGAAUUCAAAGAAGUGUACUUAUUCAUUUGAAUCAAAGAAAAUUUACAUAUUUAUAUAGAGAACAAAAUAAACCCUAGACACUAUGUACAAUUACAAUAAGAGACAUAUGUUAUAACUAUAUAUCAUAACACAAUCCGUGGUGGCCACCUACCAAGGAAAUUUUCUAGAGUUUUCUUGACACCCAAAUGUUGUGUGGUCAGCUGGUUAGGCGAGUUGUAUAAAAAAACAUGUCUUAGAGGUCGGAUGAAUUAGGGGUGGGUUGUCUUAAACAAUGAAAUGCUGCUCUUUUGUUAAAGUGGUUUUGGCCGUUCUCCCUGCAAGAAAAUAGUAUGGGGAGGAGAGUUGUUGUUGCUAUGUAUGCCAUAUAGUCAAAUGGUUGGCUAAUUAAACGUGCUAAAAUUGUUGCCAAUGGAAGGCCUUGGAUAGAUCUUGAGAAAAUAAAAAUAGGUAAUUGUUCCUUGAUCUAGUAAAUUAGAAGUGUGCAGAUGGCACAAAAAUUCGAUUUUGAAAAGAUACAUGGACCUCACAUGCUCCUCUCCAUGUGAAAUACUCUGUUCUAUAUGCCUUUAUCUUCCAAAAUAGAGGCUUCAAUCUCAGACUGUUGGUAAGUUACUGUAAAUACUUGGUAUUUGGGGUCGAGGAGGCACUUUUUUUACUUUGAGAUUCUUAUAGGUGCUUAGUUCAUAGAGCAUAUUAAGGUUGGUAGGCUUGGAAGUAGUUUGGACUGACUUGUGGAAGUUGACCUCUUUGGCACUUUGAAUGCUAAAUCUGUUUUCCUUCAUUUGAUGCAGUCUCAUGCCAAUUCAAUGCCAAUUCAAUGUACUCGUUGACUAUAUAUGGGAGAUAAAGGUUCCCAUGAGUGUUUUACUUGGUCAUUGAUGAAGACAAAUUUAAUAUUAUAUCACUCAACACUCCUCCUCACUUGUGGGCUUGAUAUAUGAAGAAUGCCCAACAAAUUGAAAUCAAUUUUAAAUGGGGAUGAAAUAACGUUGCAAGGGUGUGCACAAGACCUUUGGGCCCUACUGCUCUGAUACCAUCUUAAAUCACUUAUUAACUCUAAAGCUUAAGCUAGUGAGCGUGAAGGAAAAUUUUAUUUUAUAUCAUUCAACACCUUGCAUCCAUGUCCUCUAAGUUCUUUAUUAUUUUCACGACCCUUAUUGACCAAUGGACAUUGUCAUUGUUGGGAGCAUGGAUUUUAAGGGCAAAGUAUGGAUUUUGGAAGCCUAUUGUGUAAUUAGAACUGUCCUUUUUCAGACUUGGAAGGAAAUAAAUCAAGACUUUUGGAUGUCUAAGUUGGUCGUUUACUUUAGGAACAAUGUAUUGUAUACUACAUCUUGAUGGUGUACAAACAACAAAAAGUUUUUUCUACUUACAACCUCAUUAUUUUGAAUGGUUCUGGAUUUGUUGGCUUAGUUGUUGUAUGUCAGGGGCUUUUUCAUCCCCUGAUCCUUUAGGCCGUCCUAUUUCUUUUGUAUAUAAUACAACCUUGUGCUUCUUACAAAAAGAAAAAGAACAAAGAAAAUCGAUACAUACAAGAACUUAAACUUUGUAAUGUUUUAUUGGCAAAUUAGUUAUAGCGAUUCCUAUUUGGAGCCUCAUGCUUUUGGCGGGGAAAUGUUGCAAUGCCAAAACCAAAAAUACAUGGAUCUUGGGUCGGGGAUCAACUCCCUUACCAAAAAUCACUAGUAGAUCUUGCUAUUCUUUCUGAGUUGCCUGAUAAAUCUGUCCCCUGCUAAUGCCUCUAUCUCCUCCUCGACAUGGUGGUAAAAUUUUCCAAGAAGGUGAAGUUCUUUGUGCAGCAAAUUUUGCACAGAUGAGUUAACACUUUGGCUUGGAUCUUGGCCAUAGAGUCCUCCUUGGUUGGGCUCACUGUUGUGUUGUUUACACGCAGGUGGCUUGAGGACCUUGAUCAUAUACUUUGGAGUUGUGUUUUCACUGCUUAUUUUGGUUUUUAUAGCCUUAGCUUCCCGGGUUAUAGGGAGUCAAUUGAAGUUCUGCAUGGGGAACUUCACCCUUUUUCAGUUUAUCAGAUUGCAAGUUUGGUAGAUAAAAUGUGUCUAUGAGUGGAUGUCAUUGGGUCAGGAGUGCUGCUUUUGGAGAUAAAAACCUUGAAGUAUGCUAGCCUUUUUUAAUGUACACCUUACAUUAGUUUAAGGCAUGUUUGUUUCCCAGGAGGCGAGAUGCAAUGUGUCCAUGAGUGAUACAUCUAUUAAAAACAACAAUUGUAGCAUUAUAUUAUUAAUAGGGGGUGAAGUCCACUAUGACAUAAGAUGUAUUGCAUAACUAGGCGUGUAUGUCUCUGGUGACAAUAAAGUAAUUUAACAAAUAACAAUCCUCUUAUGUAAGUUUUAAGUAAAAUAUAUAAAAAAAUAUUACUUAUGCUUAAUUUUGUGUUUCGCAGUAGGCCUUUGAUGAAUUUACAUUACUAUAUUGUACUUUUAUGUUCAUGAGAUGUUGAAGAAAAAAAUUGAAAAUAUUAUGUCAGAAACAAUUUGUAGGCAGAUUUGGCUAAGGUGAGCUUAGCUUAGCUGAUGCAUGACCUUCCAUCACAGAGGUGGGAGAUUUUUCUUGUAUUAAAAGAAAAAAAUUGAGGCAGAUUUGUUUGUUUUUCUGGUUACUUUUUGGCUUUGAAGGGCCUACUCUUUUCCCAAUUAUAUUUCUCUUAAACCAUCAUGAGUUGGCCUAGUGAUAAAAAAAUGAGAUAGUCUCAAGUACUAACUGGGAGGUUAUGAGUUCAAUCUAUGGUGGACACCUAGCUAGGAAUUAUUUUCGAGUCAGACGGGUUGUUUCGAGAGAUUAGUCGAGCUGCACGUAAGUUGGUCUGGACACUCACAGAUAUAAAAAUAGAAUUACAUUUAUCUUGCAACAAUGCAUGCUUAUGACUAUAUGUCCUAAAGAAUCUACUCUACUGAAAAUUUAUCCUAUUGUCGUGGGGCCUAUUCUCUUUUCAAUUAUAUUGUCUAUGAUGCGUGCGUGUUUGGAUGUCUUAUGAUCUGUUUUGAUAGUUUAAUCUUUUGUCUUUAACACUAAAAAAAACUUCCCUUUCUUCUCAUUAUUAACAAUGAAUAAUAAAGAAAGGUCUUCUUUUUGGAUGAAAAAAACAACAUAUCCAUUUAAUAGUAAUGUAACAAAAAAAAUGCGCCCUUUUGUUAGUAGUCCUCAUUUUAGUACUAAAAAUACUUUUUACUAUCCCUAUGAAUCAGAGAAUACUAUGCUAUUUCCGAUGUUUGUGUUAUCCCUAUUUCCUGUUUGACUAGGCAAAAAAAUGUUUUUUACUUAAACUUUUUUUUUUUUGCUAAAAACUUUAAUAUAAACUUGAAAAUGUUUGAAGCCCGAUUUUUUUUUUCAAAUGACUUGUUUUCAAAAUUAAAUAUGUGAUAAGUUAAACCAAACAUUUUAUUAUUU
rnacentral:lncRNA from 1 species